rnacentral:lncRNA from 1 species
UAAACCAGGCUAAAACCUAACCAUGGUUCAAAUCUUAAAGAGAGUCCGUCCCUCUGUAGACAAAAAGCCAACAAGCACUUGGAAGAUGAAGCUCAUAUCUCGAUCUGGUUUUGGAAACAGAACAAGGAGCACUUCUUGUUUUAUCGGCUCAAGUGUUUAAAUAGGAUAUGUUGUAUUGUUUCGGUUAUAAAGAUACCGCUUCUGUUAAUAUUUGGUCAGUGUGUGUAUUAUUAGUUCUUGAUGAUCCCCAAAAAAGCUUUUGAUCAUUGAUUGUUCGAAUUUAGAGGAGGGGGAAACAUUUGUUUAGAGGAUAUUUAUCUAUUUAUAAACUCUUGUUAAUUCUUUUCAUCAAGUUUCUUAUAUUUGCAUCAGAUUAUUCCCUGAUCUUAAGCCACAGUAUGGUCUGUUGUUUUGCUCUUUCAUCCUCGUACAAUAUCUAAGACAAUCCUCAGCCUAUUUCUAUUCUUUUUAUAUUUUUCUUCUAGAAUAAAACAAAACUAGGUGUUUUGUCCGCGAUGCGAACUUAGACAUUUUCAUAAUUUUUGAAAAGUUCUUUGUACAAUAUAUUCAUUAUACUAAAAUAAAUCUUAAAAUAAUUUAAUAUUAUAUUUUUAAUUAUAUAAUUUAAAAAAUAUAUUUGAUUAAUAUUUAAUUAUAUCAUUUAUGUUUUAACUUUUUACUAAAAUACUUUUUCAGAUAACAAUACAAUAUAUAUAUAUAUAUAUAUAUUAUUUUUUUUUUAAUUAUAUUUUUGGAUUUUGGAUAAUUCAAUAUUCUAUUUUAAUUAUAUAAUCAAGAAUUUUAUUUGAUUAGUAUUUAGUUAUAUAAUUCAUGUUUUUAACUUUUUAUAUAUAAUUCAUGUUUUUAACUUUUUACUAAAAGACUUUUUCAGAUAAUAAUACAAUAUAUACAGAAAUUAUCUCUUUUUAAAAUUAUAUUUUCAGAUUUUGGAUAAUUCUUACUAUUAUUAAUUUUAAUCAAUUAUCUAAUCAAAUAAAUUAAAAUUUCAUUUUUAUUUUUUCAUUUAGUUAUACAUUUUAUUCAUUAAGGGUAUAAACGAUUAAUCAAUAUUUAGUUAUAUAAUUCAUGUUUUUAACUUUUUAUAUAUAAUUCAUGUUUUUAACUUUUUUACUGAAAGACUUUUUCAGAUAACAAUACAAUAUAUACAUAAAUUAUCUUUGUUUAAAUUAUAUUUUCAGAUUUUGUAUAAUUUUUACUAUUAUUAAUUUUAAUCAAUUAUCUAAUCAAAUAAAUUAAAUUUUUGUUUUUAUUUUUUUAAUAGAUUUACACAUUUUAUUCAUUAAGGGUAUAAACGAUAUUAACCAUUCUAACUUUUAACGUGAGAGCUUGAUUCUAACUUCGCAAAUAAUAGUAUAAAUUAUUAUAGAGGUAGAUUUACUCUAAUGUAUGCUUCUAAAAUAGAAUUUUUAUUUAUAUUUUUCAAAACAAAAUAUAAAAAAAUAUUAUUUUCAUCUAUAUAAAACUACUAUUGUUUUGUAUUUUACUCUAUAAAUAGAGAAAUUCUAUUAUAACGUUAUACAUUCAAAGGAUCAUCACCUUAGAAGAGAUGAUGAGAAAAUGGUUUAAGCUCGAGCAUCACAUUCUUUUAUUCAUUUUCGUAGAGUUGACAUACAUAGCAUCUGUAAAUGGUUUCAAGUUUGAUCAAUAAAUUUGAUAUUCAAUUAAAAAAAAAAUUAUACAUUCGAAUAAAGUCAUCUUUAUAAUAGAGUUUUUUAUUUUAUGAGAAAAUAUAAAAAUAUAUACCGGUGUUGCUCUUAUAACGUGCUCAUAUGAGCAGUGUGAUGAGUGUUUUGCCCAGAAAGUCUAACAGAUAAUAUUUGAUUUUGGUAAGUUGUCAGAUUACUGGUUGACACAAAAAAUAUUUAAAAACUAAAAACCUCGUUGUAACAUAGUGUUUAAAACUAUCAAUUUAGUUAAAAAUAGAAAAACAUACAUUCCAAAAACGAAAAAAAUGAAAAUAUAAAUUUAAUUCACAUAUUAGAUUUAGUAAUCAUUACACAUAGUAAAUUCUGUGGUUUUCUAAACUUAUUUAAUGAACAACACUCCUAAACAAAUAAUGAUUCAUAUUAGUCCCCAUAAAGUAUAUAUUAAAUGUGUGAAUUGAUGCAAAGUUCUAACAAAAGAGAACGAUGAUUUAGUUCCCCAUAUUACAUAUCACACGUCAGGAUUUGGUUUUGUUUGAAAAUUCUGACUAGUUUCAUGUCUGAUCUUUGGUCGUAACUUGUUUUACAUUCAUUCUAAGUCACCUUACCCCGUCAAUUAAUUUAUGCCCACUCAUUCCUUAAUCAACUGCGUAAAUUAAAUAAUAUGUACACCUAUGGUCCUAUCAAUUAUCAAAAGACUAGUGUCUUAAGUAUCACUAGAUUUUCACCCGUGCAACCGCACGGAUGUUUGUUUUCACUUUUCUAUACAUAAAUUAUUGUUUUAGAACAUAAGUGGUAUAUAUUUUUAAUGUUAAUCAUAUACUUAAAUAUUUAUAUAACUAUUUCAAAUACGAUAAUUUUAUAAUUUACAUGUUAUAAUUAAUUAAUUGUUUAAACCUUAUGUAUUUGUCACUUCUUAUUAUAUAUUUAUCUUAUUGUAUUUGCAUUUAGUUAUUAAGCAAAUUAAUAUAUUCAUGAGAAAAUAUAUUUAAAAAAUAUUUUGUAUUUAAUUUAUGCUAAAUUCUGAUCCGUAUUUCAAAACUGGAUUUCUUUUUACCAAUAUUUUUAUGCUUAUUCAUUUUAGAUAAUUUAUUAUUGUAUAUAUAAAAGUGUAAAAUAUGUUAAUUUUUAGACAAGUAUUAUAUAGUUUUUUAAUUUUAAGUCGUUCUAUCAUUAUAUUAUAUUUUAAAUAAAUAGUUUAUAUUUAUGAAAACAAAAUUUAUAAAUUUAUCAAUUGAAUAUAAUUUUAUCAUAUUUAGUUUAGUAUAAUACUUAUAUUUUAACAUGAUCAUGACUAUAAAAGUAGAUAAAAUAGGAUAUAAUUUAUUUAUUUUCAUUUCUAAACAAUAACUUAAAAUACAUUAAGUUAUUGUUUAAAUAUUACACAGAUUUAUUAGAAUUUUUAAAAUAUAAUAUAUAAAUAUAUAUUAUAUUUAAAAUGAAAAUAUAUUAUGAUUAAAGUAGUUACAAAGAUUUUUUAUUAUUAACUUUAAAGAAAUACAUGUUAAUUUUUAUACAUGUAUUAUAUAGUUUGAUAAUAUUAAUCCAUCUUACCAACAUAUUAGAUUUUAUUUUUGAACAUAAAUAUUUUAUAAUUACGAAAAUAAAAUAUAUAAAUAUAUAAAUUUAAUACAAUUUUAUUAUAUUUAGCUCAAUAUAAUAAUUUUAAUUUAAUAUGAUUGAUUAUGAUUAUAUAAUAACUAAAAUAUUAUAGAUUUUUUUAUUUUUCAUUUUAUAUAACUGAAUAUAUUAAUGUAUAAUAAUAUUUUAAACUAAUUUUGAAAUUAGUGAAAAUAUUUAAAUAUAAUUUCAAAAAUGAAGAUCUUGUAAAAAUCUUUUUAAACAGAUUUGUUAUAAUUUUAAAAUAAAUAUAUUUAUAUUUAAAAUGAAAAGAUAUCAAAAGAUACUGUGAUUAAAAUAUUUCAAAAAUUAUAUUUAUUAUUAGUCUGAAUUAAAAUAUAGUAUGAAUUUGGGGUUUUUGCCAAAAUUAACCUACAACUUGAUUUUAAACCCAAACCUAUACCCAAACUUGAAUCAAAUGCAAAACUAACCUAAAAACCUAGUGAAAUUACAACUCAGCCCCUUGUGACCAAACAAAAAAACAGAAGCCAUUUUUACGAAUAUAGCCCCAGUAAAUCGUCUGAGUCGUCUGAAUUGUUGGAAGUCGUCUGGACGACUGAAGUUUAAGUCGUCUGGUACCAGUUUAUUUUAAAAAUAAUUUUUAAAUCUUGUAAAAAAAUAUUUUGAUGCGUGAAAAAUAAAAAUCAGAUGAUUAUAAACAGUUUUAAGUGAUAUAAAUUAAGAUAUGAUAAAAUUGAUUUGUUUUGAAGAUAGAUGAGUGGAAGUAGUGAAUCAUGAUAUUCUUUGGUUUAUGAGUUUGGCAAACAUAUGUUGUAGUAUUGUAUGUAUUGUUAGGGUUAGAUCUUGGAAAACUAAAAUGUUUUUUUCAAAAAUUAGUUUUCAUCUAUAUGUGUUUCUUUAUGUGUAUAGUAAACACUUUUCAACUUUGAUUUGAUUUUAUGAAGUGUUUAAUUAGGGGUUAUGUUUAGGGUGUGGACGACUUAUAUUUCAGUCGUCUGUUGAAUAAUUUACACGGACGACGUAUAUUUCAGUCGUCCACAUCGUACCGAACCUUUAAUUUUACCAAUGUACGUUUUAACCUAACCGGAUCAUUUACCGGACAUAUAAAAGCUAUUUUUUCACUAUUUCACAACUUUUCGAAACCCUAGCGCAGUUUCUCUCCAACGGCGAUUUCGAAGGCGAUAAGACGAAAACCCUACCGUGGUCGUGUUCCGCCGUUAUCUUCGCCGGUAAUCUCUCCGAUUACGACGAAUCUCGUUUCUCCUUCAUGCCGUAGAGUAUUUUCGUAGUUUAAACUGACCGUCCGCUUCCUUUUUUUCAGAUCUGAAAUCUCGUUUGCCAAACUCCGCCGCCGGUAUGUUAUUUCUCAUGUAUUAAGGCGUUUAGCCGCCGGAAAACCCUAAAUAUUUUAGUAUUGAUUCUUCUUUUCCCUUCGAUUUGCAGAUCUGUAACGGCUUGGGACCACAUCUUCUCCGACCAUAUCUUCUCGGACAAUAUAUUCUCCAACUGUAAGUCAUUCGUCUUUUGUUUAAAAGAUUUUGAGAUUGUUGUAGUCUUUUGCUGAAAGAUUACUCAGACGACUUCCAGGAAGUGAGAAGACUACUUGGACGACUUCCAUGAAGUCUUCUACGAUGUCUUACUCUCUGGACGACUUACAUGUAAGUCGUCUAGAGAGUAAGACAUCGUAGAAGACUUCAUGGAAGUCGUCCAAGUAGUCUUCUCACUUCCUGGAAGUCGUCUGAGUAGUCUUCUCACUUCAUGGAAGCCGUCUGCAAGUCUUCUAUAGCAUUUAGCAUAGUGCGCAACCUAUGUGUUUGAGAUGGUUGUUUGUGAUUAUUUGCAGGCCUUAAAAUGGAUUUACGAGAACUCCCGCCGAGGAUGUUUACAUUAGGAGAAGAGCCCGAUGCAAUCAAGAGCAUUUCGUAUCAAUCUGAUGACACAAAGUUGUUUAAAGCUCUAUGUGAUUGUCUCACACCUGACGAAUUUGAGGAUCUGAAGGCGUCGAAGUUAGGAGUGUUCAUCAAAUUCAAGGAGCUUGACUUUGGUUGGACUUCAAGGCUGGUACAUUUUUUGCUCUGUUUCCAGCUAGACAUCAAGAAGAAGUUUGAGCUCUGGAGUCUUGUCGUUUCACAACCUGUGAGGUUUUCACUGAUAGAGUUUGAACACCUCACUGGGCUGAACUGCGAUUACAUCAAGGACCUGGAAAAUCCAAGAUGUGAGGUUACAACGGAGAUGGCUGCUUUCUGGGAGAAGAUGCAUGUUGAUAUCGAUACUGGGCCAAGUAUUGAACAGAUAACAGAAGCAUUUUACAACUGCGACGAGUGGUCUCGGGAUGAUCGCAUGCGGCUGGGAUACCUUGCCAUCUACGCAGGAUAUAUCGAAGGGAAAAAGUUCUCAUCCGCUACAUCAGCUAGUCUUGCAAGGCUAGUGAUGGAUUUAGAAAAAAUUGAGAAUUAUCCAUGGGGGAGAGUGGCGUUUAAGGUGCUGAUGGAUUCUCUGAAGGCAAACGACUUGACGCAAACUGGUUACACUGUUGAUGGGUUCAUACAAGUGCUCCAAGUGUUGGCGUACUAUGCUAUGCCAGAAUUGGGUGCUAAUUAUGGGUCUCCCAUACCAAACAGACCGUCUCCACUGUUGCUGGCUUACAAGGGUGGCAAAAGACAACGCAAAUGUUUUAAGGCUGCUAUCAAUAAACAGGUACUUAACUUCACUCCUAAGACUUCUCAGACGACUUAAAGUUAAGUCGUGUGGAAGUCUUCCAACAAAAGACCACGCAGACGACUUACUUUUAAGUCGUCUGAGUGGUCUUUUUGUUGGAAGACUUUCAGACGACUUAACUUUAAGUCGUCUGUGAACAAAAUACUUCUCAGACGACUUAACUUUAAGUAGUCUGUGAACAAAAUACUUCUCAGACGACUUAACUUUAAGUAGUCUGAGAACAAAAUACUUCUCAGACGACUUAACUAAGUUUAUAUCUUUUAUUUAUUGCAGACUAUCGUGAAGAACUUCGUUCAGAAGGAUUUUGAUGAAAUGUUUCCAAAAUGGGACGGAGACAUAGAUGACCCUGCCGCGGAUAACAUAAUUAAAGUCAUGUUUAAUGAUCCUGGAUGGGAGUGGACCAUGGAAUGCUGGCCAGUCACCGGUACUCGCAAGGUUGUGAAGAUGGAAGUGAUUCCAGUGAAGAAUGAAGUGAGUCCCGUGAAGUCAGAGAGUGUUGUGAAGGAAGAAAGUAGCAGACCUCGGAAGAAAGCUCGUAAAGGGUCUUCUGUUUCUGCUGAGACACCUGCGGCGGGUAGUGAAGGGAUGACGCAUCAGCAGAUUGAAAAGUCCUUGAAGGACAUAUCUGAUACCAUUAAUCUUGGCUUUGGGACGUGCCUUAAGGAGCUCAAGUUACUGGCGGAUAGGAUGGUAGCUGUGGAGAAGAAGGUGGGAAUCACCAACAGAGGGGGUUUAUCUGAUGAUCGUCAACUUACAACCACUUCAAAUCCACCAAAACUUGUUGACGAACCCGGGGUUAGUACCAAAACCUCUCCCAAAAUUGCAGAGAAGAGAGUCACUAGGCAAAGUGUUAGGAAGAGUCAGGACUGAUGUGAUUUGUUUCUUGUGUGCUUUGAUGAACAUGUGUGCUUUGUUUCUAGUGUGCUUUGAUGAACCACUGUAUGCCUUGAUUCUGAACAUGUGUGCUUUGUUUCUAGUGUGAAUUUGAUCUUUGCUGUAAGGGCUUUUGUUAAUAGUUUUUAAACACACUGUGAACUCGAAAUUGCAGAGUGAAAGCGUGAAUGGGGCGAAAGCAGGACAGAAGGAAGCCAAAGAACCGAGUUCCUCGAGAGAGCUCUGUCUUGUGAGUCCUGCAGACGACUUACCGAGUGAUGAUCCUAGCCUUCUUAUAUUGGACAAACAAGUUUCGACCGCUUCAGAUUUACUCGUUGAAGAAGCUAGAAGGCAGACAAAGAAGGAGACUGCUUUGGUGAAUCUCCGUAAAAAAAGUGUGCGAGAAAGGAAGCUUGCUCCCACACAGCAAACUCCUUUUAAGGGAAACAGCACUGCCAAACAGAUCAUUCCAAACAAACAGGUUGGCGGAGGCUAUGAUCCUUUUGCACCCAUUGACAAGAUGAAGUCGAAGGAGCUCACUGCAUGGGUGCAAAAAGAUCCGUAAGUUGCUGUUAAAAAUAUGCUUACUUAUAUUUGAUUAAAAAAAGCUUCUAUUUGAUUAUUUACAUUUUGUGUUUGCAGUUCUUAUAAACUGCCUCUGAAAAAAAAACCACGUAGAUGUCGAAGUCGAUUCUAUCAGGUCCUCCGAACCCCCUUAGAAUGGCUAACCGACCAUGUAAGUCUUCUGCUAUUUUCUAACUCUUAUAUAAGUCGUCUGGUAGUUAUCUGGUACUUUUCUGAUUUGUAUAAGUCGUAUGUGAGUCGUCUGUGAGUCGUCUAUAAGUCGUCUGGUAGUUAUCUUAUGUAAGUCGUCUGUAAGUCGUCUGUAAGUCGUCUCUAAGUCGUCUCUAAGUCGUCUGUAAGUCGUCUGGUAGUUAUCUUACGUAAGUCGUCUGUAAGUCGUCUCUAAGUCUUCUCUAAGUCGUCUCUAAGUCGUCUGUAAGUCGUCUGGUAGUUAUCUUACGUAAGUCGUUUGUAAGUCGUCUGUAAGUCUUCUCUAAGUCGUCUCUAAGUCGUCUCUAAGUCGUCUGUAAGUCGUCUGGUAGUUAUCUUACGUAAGUCGUCUGUAAGUCGUCUCUAAGUCUUCUCUAAGUCGUCUCUAAGUCGUCUGUAAGUCGUCUGUAAGUCGUCUGUAAGUUUUUUUGACUUGUAUUGUUUUAUAUGCAGCAAAUGGAUGCUUUUAUUAAUAUACUGAGGCAACGGUACCAAAACCAUCCAGAACAUUUCAGGAGCGACAGAAUGUGCUUUCUUGAUCAUGUCUUUUCUCGGCAGUGGAGGGCCUCCUACCCUGAUUUUAAGAGCGACGCUCCUGAUGCCAACGGUUUAGGAAGAAGACUCCCUGGUGGGGCGUGGAAUUAUCAUGCAGGCGUGAUACCUUCUUUUUGCCAAUCUAAGAAGGUUUGGGGGGGUGGAUGUGGAUGAUAUCUAUGCACCUGUGAACUUCAAGAACCAGCAUUGGAUUGCUAUAUGGAUAUCGAUCCCUAAGAGGCACAUCGUCGUCUGGGACAGCAUUGUCUCUCAUAUUAGCCCUGAAGAACUCGAUGAGGUAAUGGAGCCUUUUCUCACAAUGGUCCCUUAUCUGCUUGUUGAGUGCGCGCUCUCUGACGAACAAAAGGUUCAAUACACAUUGGAGCCAUACACAUAUGCGAGACAAACCGUUGGAGUACCUCAGUGCCGAGCUGGUGAUUGUGGCCCUUUCACUCUGAAGUACAUCGAAUGUCAUGCUCUUGGGAUAGAAUUUCCCACCGCGUUUGACAAAAAACACGGGAAGACCAUCAGGGAGAAGAUGGCGCUGGAUAUAUUUCGAGAGCUUUCUAUGUGCCAUGAAUGGGAAAACCAAGACAAUGAUGAGAACCUGGCAACGUAUGAUUAGAUAUUGGAUGUGUUAUUGUGUGCUGUUGCGAUUGUAUUUGAACUUGAUGCUUUUGUGUACUGUUGUUAGGUAGAUUAGGGGAUGUUAACAGGGUCAGGAUAGGAUGAUGUUUUUUUGUAACCUAUCCUCACACCAAACUAGAAUUCCGUAGGAAAUUAGUUUGGUAGUGCAGUAACCUUUCGGAAUAUGUAAUGUUUAACUUGUCUUUUUUAAAUUGCACUGUUGGAAUUAGUUUCGGAAUAUGUACUGCUUAACAUAGAAGGUCUACAAAGAAAAGUUCAUAAAACAUAUAAAUUCAUAACAUAGAGUCUACAGAGAAGUUCAUAAAACAUAGAAAAUCAUUGUGGACGACUACAGAGAAGUUCAUAAAACAUAGAAAAUCAUUGGACGACUUACUUAAAGGUCUUCUGGACGACUACAGAGAAGUUCAUAAAACAUAGAAAAUCAUUGGACGACUUACUUAAAGGUCUUCUGGACGACUAACCAGAAGAAAAUUCUAAUUAAGACGUUGGACGACUAACUUAAAGGUCUUCUGAACGACUAACCAGAAGAAAAUUCUAAUUAAGACGUUGGACGACUAACCAGAAGGUCUUCUGGACGACUUACCAGAAGAAAAUUCUAGUUAAGUGAUAUUACGUGUAUACGCACACCAAAUAACCUAAUGUGCACACUACCACAAUCGAAUGGUAUGUCGAUGUAGCACUUUAGGAUCGAAUCCACAGAGACCAACUAUUACACUUUAUCUUUAUGGGAUCAAUAUCAAGCUAAAACAAUAUGGGGGUUUUAAAGUUGAUUUCGUAACAAGCAAGUAAAAAGAUUAAUUAAAGAUUUCAGAUGAUUAAAAUGCUAGCCUAGGGUGGUUUGGUCGGGUGUUAAACAAGUGUGAGCCAAACAAUUAUUCAAGUUUAAUUAAGAGCAAGUCUAGAACUCGGAUCACUCAAGUAGAACAGCCCACUGUCGUGGAACUGCCCCCUAUGCUGAUCGAUCUUGAUACCUAAACUCUCGUUUGGAUCAAGAUGCGACAGCAAGCAAUAGAGAUCAAGUCCGAUAGGUUCACCAAACACCCUAAUAUCUACUUUCGCUGAUUAGGGAUGCUAGGCUCAUUCAUAACAGAUCUAGCAACCUAUUACACGGUUAAUGAACAGGUUAAACCUAGGAUCUAACAUUAAGCGGCCAGAUUAAUGCAAGCAUUAAGAACAGUUAUGAAUGAAGACAAUCAAUGGUUUCACUUAUCUAUGUUUAACUCACGGAUCUAACACCCGAACACCCUAGACUAAGCAAGUUGACUACUCAGCCAUGAACAGAGAAAACACAGAGAUCAAUUCUGAAUAAGACUUCAUGUAAAUAAAAGAGAUAGAAAGAGGGUUCAGGAUAAUCUUCUCUAUGGUGAGAGAGAUGGAGCCUUCUCCCUUUACAAUCCAAAAGCACAAAAGUCUCCAAUGGUUUUCUUCUGUCUAGAAUAGCGUAGAAUGAUAAAGAGAAACAGAAAAUAUGAUAUAUCAAAGCCACAGGCGGCUGGGAGAGAAAAUAUGGAUAAUUAGGGCAAAUCCCGUAAUGAUUGUAGUUUCCUAAAAAAUCUCUGCCGCUGGAACACUCACUCGGAACAGUCAUCAAGACUGUUCUGCGUGAAAACCACCAAAUUGCAUUGUUUUCUGCCUCUUUUGUUCCAGCUGAUCCAUCUCCCAUCCAAUGCAACUCCAGACCUGUAAUGACUCCAAAAGGACUAGGAAGACUCGAUAAAGACUUGAAAACCAAUUUAAAAGCAUAUAUACAAGAUGUAUAAAACACCAUAUAUCAAUUCCCCCAGACUUAGAUCCUUGUUUGUCCUCAAACAAUGUCAAGUAUCAAGAACAGGGAGAAAGGUUUGAAAGUGUGGGAACUCUCCUAUUCUCAGCAACCAUACUUUAACCACGAAUCUCUGAACCAUACAAGCAGUAAAACUAGGACAACACACCCUUACCGGAACCCCACUGACUGCUGUUCAAAAAUCGGCUCCAUACUCUUCAUCUCAAACCUGAAAAAGCAACACUAUCGAGACAGAACUCCCUACAUUCAUUUAAGAGUAGCGUGAGCUUCUCAUCACAGGCAUCAUUCAGGGUAGACGGUCUAGGUGUGGAACAGGCUAUUUAAUGGUGGAGUUAAGAGUGUUUAGGGGCUACCAUUUCAUUGAAGAGGAUGCAGGAUAUCACACAAAAUGGCAAGAGAGGAUAGAUCCAUUGAUGUCCACAGCCUCUACUCGUUUUUGCUCUAUCUGGUGCGACUGUUCUGAUGACGGAACAGGCAACUGAUUGUUCUGCUUUCCACUUUCCUCUACACACUCUUCAAUACUUGGUACCAACUUCUUGCUCGACCUUUCCAGUGGCUCCAUGUUUCUUUUCUUUCUUCCCCUUCUCCAUCACAUUAAUCUCGUUUUUUUUUUUUUUUUUUUUUUUUUGAAGACUGAUAUGGUGAUGUGACGAAGAAGGAGGUAACACAUGAUCGUUCUGAGUGCCACUGGUGGUUCUGAUUUCGCGACCAUUCUGGUUCUCCACCCCUGCUCUUGCGCAGUUCAUUGGUUAUGGAGCGGUUGCUCCCUUAAUCUGCUUGUUCUCCUUUCUGACAUAAUUUCUGCAGCAGUAACGAGUAGGAGGCUGCGUUGAUCCUUUCCUCUCCGACCUUUUUGCACAUAUCUGCACAUAUGACACUGAAAAACAAAUGCAUGAAGGUGGAAUAAAGGCUAAGGUGCAGGGUGGGAACUAGCUAAAGAUGAGCUAGCCACUCAGGAUCAGCAAGAUGGAUAAAAAGGAUAAGAAGUCCUGAGUGUGUUCUCGUUUCCCUGAUCUAAUGCCCAUAACAAGAAGAAUUUCAGUCAAGAUUAGGUUCAAGUAAGGUGGAGUUAAGUCUACCCAGUGUAACCUGAUCGGCUGAGAACUUCUGGAGAAUCAAGUGAGAUAUGUCAGGGUGUUCCAGGUCCACAUGUGUGUCUUUCGCCACUGCUAAGGUCACUGAAUAAGAUAACUAAAGCACGAGGUGGUUAGUGAUCAACACGGAAUAAGGUCCUAAUUCCCACAAAAUUUUGACUGACUCAAUAAAAACUGACUCGAAUUGACCCAAAAGAAAAACAAAAGAAAGAAACGAGUUAGUAAACGACGAAAACCCUCCCCCAGACUUACUUCACAACGUCCCUGGUGUGAAAAUAAAUCAGAGAGAAGGUGAAAUCAAGAAUAAACAUUUUUUUUUUUGUUCGAGAUACUUACCUGGCGCGGAGCAGCCUGACAGAGCAAGACGCGGUUGCUCCGGUAAAGGAUGCUAUGGAAUGAGAACAGCCAGCUGCUUGCUCCAGUCAAGGGUCUCGGAUUUUCUGAUUUGUGACCUGAGACUCAACAAACUAAAAACAAAAAUAAGUAAAAAGAAAAUCCUAAUGUUAAUGACACUCACCAGUGGGUUGCCUCCCACCAAGCGCUUGGUUUAAGUCUCUAGCUUGACUUGGUGACUGGGAUCAGUCGGGUUGAGCAGGAGGGCUUGUUCCAAAACAAGCUCCACAAUCAGACAUGUUCAGCUUCAAAACUCUGCUCAACAACCCUUUCACAGCAGCUUUCCCUUUCUCCUUCAGCUCAUGUGUGAGAAUAGCUCUGACUUUAGAGAAAGGUUUAGAGGUACCCUUGCACUUUACCUCAUACUCAAUGGAGUUCUCAUCACACUUGAGAGGUAUCAAAGUCAUUGUAGGAUCUCCCUUGAUCCUUUUCUUCUGGACUUUCUGUUUCACCCUUGAAUUCCCUCUGAAUUUAGUAGGAUCAGUGCUAGGAUCUUCAUCAGAGAACAGCCUGCUCUCACCCUUAUCACCAUGCUCCUUCUCUGGAACAACCUUCAGCUUUUCUACAUCAAACACUGAGAUGCGAGAGGCGUGUGAUGAGGAAGAUCUGGUGGGUACAGCCUUGUAGAAAACUUUCUUGUUGAUGUUGGAGAAGCAGACUCUCUUGUUGGGCAUAUCGAUGGUUGCUCCAACAGUAGCCAUGAAUGUCCUUCCAAAUAUCAAAGGCAUCUCAUGAUCCUUGUUCAUCUCAACAACUUGAAACUCAGCAGGAACAAUGCAUUCCCCUACUUGAACAUGAAGGCUGCGGAUGGUUCCAUAUGGGACUGCUCUGGAAGAGUUUGCAAAGGUCAGGGUCAGCUGAGAACGCUCAACAUCAGCAAUACCCAAAUCGUCUACAAUAGCCUUUGAGACGAGAUUCACACAAGAACCAGAGUCACACAGAGCAUCCUUGAAGGUUGUUCCUGCGAUGGAGCAUGGGAAAACAAACUUUCCAGGAUCAUCAACCUUAGGCAAUACCUUCAAUGCUGGUGUAGACAGUGCUUUGAUAUAGAGGACCUUGAUCUCCUCUUGAGUCUCUCUACAGUGUUUAAAGAACUGGAGCAAUGGACGAAUCUGCAGAGCAUCUUCGAAUGCAAGUUCUUUAGGAAGCCUUCUCACCAUCUUGUUAAAACCUAUCAGCUGCUCUUCACUAAUGGGAUCCAUCAGAUGUCUAGGUGGAAUUGGAUAGGGAACCUUGGGAACAUAGACUCGAGAUGGUGGAGUCUCAGCAGGUUCGCUAGGAGCAGUCACUCCAGAGCUAGCAGACUGCUCUGCUCUCUCUUCUGCGCCUGAAGCAGUCUCAGCAAACGGCUGCUCUAUUGCAUUACAGUGCUCAGUCCUAGGAUUUUUAUCAGUUCUUCCAGGAAGCGUCUCUUGUUGCCUCUUGACACUCUCAACUGUUUGAGCAAGCUGAACAUCGAUCUUUCUUAUAUGGAUCGCAAGAUUGUCAUACUUGUUAUUCAGCUCAGUGAACAUGUUGCCCAUCCUGGUGUCUAUUUCCGUGGUUACCUGAUUCAACGCCUUGGCCUGAACCUGCUGACCCUGCAACAGCUGUUGCAUCAUCAUACCCAGACCCUUCAGCUCAUCUGGUUGACUGUUCCCGGUAGCUGGAACAGCAUGCGGAUUGCUCUGCGGUUGUCGCUGGUUCUGGUUCUGAAUAUGCCCGGCCGUAGGUUGUUCCAUGCUGAAAACGUGCCCUUGGUUGUUUUUCAGUAGCUGAUCAACCUUGGCAGUCAGCUCAUCUAUUUUCUGGGCGUCAGAACUGUUUCCUUUCUUGGAGCAAUCACUCUCCUCUUUCUUAUUAGCUGAGCUAGCAGCCAUGUUCUCAAUCAGCUUAAACGCUCCAGCUGUGGUUUGAGUCAUGAAAUCUCCAUUGCUCGCAGAGUUUAGAGCACCUUGGUAUUUCCAGUCCACUCCAUCAUAGAAAAUGUCCAGGAUAUAAUCAUCAUCAAAUCCAUGGUGAGGACAUUCUCUGCGAUAGUCAUUGAAGCGCUCCCAUGCGUCGCAGAAAGCUCAUCAGUGAGCUGUCUGAAGGAGGUGAUCUUGUUCCUCAAUGCAGCUGUUCUCGCCUUAGAGUAGAAAUGGCUGAGGAACGCUGAUCGGACCUGUUCCCAUGAAGUGAGAGAGCCGGUAGGGAGAGAGUUCAACCACCGUGCAGCUUUUCCAUCAAGAGAGAAUGGGAAUAACAUGCACGUGAUGUAGUCUGGUGGAACACCAUUCACGCGAGUGAAACUGCAGACUUUUUCGAAGCUCUCAAUAUGCUCCAUUGGAAUUUCUGUAGAGAGACCAGAGAACACCUUUCUCUGUACUAGACCAAUCAAAGCAGGCUUGAUCUCGAAGUCCUGCCUGGUGCAAGGUGGAGGAACAAUGGCAGAGCGCGUAGUAGGGAUGUUACGCGGAAGGUUUCUCUGCCCGAUUGGAACAGUCUGCGCCUGUUGUUCCUGCUGCGCGAGAGCAGCCUGUUCAGCAGCAUCCUGCUGAGCUUGGAUGGUCUGCUGCAUUUGUUGCAUCUGCUGCUGCAUGUGCAACUGAGCAGCGAGAUCUCCUGAUUGGCGUGAUCACCCAUAGUGGUGUCAGUUUGCCUUGGCUGUUGACGAUUUGUUCUUUCUAACCUUGCUAGCUCCUGGUUGGUAAAUGUAACUAACUCUCCUUGUGCGUUUCUCCGAGUAUGUCUACUGGUCAUGCACCUGGAACAUUAGCUGCAACAAAAAGGAUAAGGCAAGUUAGAGGUCUUAGACUAAAUAAAUAACCGAAAAAUAAAGGUAAAAAGAUGGUCCCCGGCAACGGCGCCAAUUUGAUAUUACGUGUAUACGCACACCAAAUAACCUAAUGUGCACACUACCACAAUCGAAUGGUAUGUCGAUGUAGCACUUUAGGAUCGAAUCCACAGAGACCAACUAUUACACUUUAUCUUUAUGGGAUCAAUAUCAAGCUAAAACAAUAUGGGGGUUUUAAAGUUGAUUUCGUAACAAGCAAGUAAAAAGAUUAAUUAAAGAUUUCAGAUGAUUAAAAUGCUAGCCUAGGGUGGUUUGGUCGGGUGUUAAACAAGUGUGAGCCAAACAAUUAUUCAAGUUUAAUUAAGAGCAAGUCUAGAACUCGGAUCACUCAAGUAGAACAGCCCACUGUCGUGGUACUGCUCCCUAUGCUGAUCGAUCUUGAUACCUAAACUCUCGUUUGGAUCAAGAUGCGACAGCAAGCAAUAGAGAUCAAGUCCGAUAGGUUCACCAAACACCCUAAUAUCUACUUUCGCUGAUUAGGGAUGCUAGGCUCAUUCAUAACAGAUCUAGCAACCUAUUACACGGUUAAUGAACAGGUUAAACCUAGGAUCUAACAUUAAGCGGCCAGAUUAAUGCAAGCAUUAAGAACAGUUAUGAAUGAAGACAAUCAAUGGUUUCACUUAUCUAUGUUUAACUCACGGAUCUAACACCCGAACACCCUAGACUAAACAAGUUGACUACUCAGCCAUGAACAGAGAAAACACAGAGAUCAAUUCUGAAUAAGACUUCAUGUAAAUAAAAGAGAUAGAAAGAGGGUUCAGGAUAAUCUUCUCUAUGGUGAGAGAGAUGGAGCUUUCUCCCUUUACAAUCCAAAAGCACAAAAGUCUCCAAUGGUUUUCUUCUGUCUAGAAUAGCGUAGUAUGAUAAAGAGAAACAGAAAAUAUGAUAUAUCAAAGCCACAGGCGGCUGGGAGAGAAAAUAUGGAUAACUAGGGCAAAUCCCGUAAUGAUUGUAGUUUCCUAAAAAAUCUCUGCCGCUGGAACACUCACUCGGAACAGUCAUCAAGACUGUUCUGCGUGAAAACCACCAAAUUGCAUUGUUUUCUGCCUCUUUUGUUCCAGCUGAUCCAUCUCCCAUCAAAUGCAACUCCAGACCUGUAAUGACUCCAAAAGGACUAGGAAGACUCGAUAAAGACUUGAAAACUAAUUUAAAAGCAUAUAUACAAGAUGUAUAAAACACCAUAUAUCAUUAAGACGUUGGACGACUUACUUAAAGGUCUUCUGGACGACUUACUUAAAGGUCUUCCACGUCAGUUCUUACAUUGUGGACGCUUAUGGCCAGUUUCUUUGCAGACUGAGCACCUAUAAACCAUGUGUUGCUUCCGGGGUUUGCGUCCUCUCAUCCUGGAUAGCUCCAACCAAGAUUGCCAUCUUGAUUUCUUCUGUCUCCCCGGACCACGCUUUACUUCCGGAGGAAAGGAUGUGCUUGCCUCAACAAGUUGUCCAACACAAGGAUAUAUAUUCUCUGAGUAUCCUGCAAACAAAGUAUCCUUUGAGUAGACCGGCCACACAAGUGUGGAGAUAUGCACACCAGCUGCUGUUCCAGCUGCUAUAGCAUGAGAGCAAGGUAUUUUCUCGACUUGAUAGACACCACAAUCGCACUUUUGAAGUUCCAGAUCAACAUUACAGUCCCUAUUGCCACCUUUCACAAAGAACUUCCAUCCAUCAAUUUGUUGGACUCUCAGAGUAUACGCGUUCUCCUCUCGGACAGCAAGCAAGUGUUCAACACCCCGACUAUGUUGAGUUGUAAGACUCAAAGCAUCUCCUCUCCUUUUCCAGUACCACCUUCCUAGCUUCUCCCUUAUGAACUCCAGCAGGAACUGAAUAGGAAAUCCUCUUGCUCGCUUCAGUGCGGAGUUAAUUGAUUCAGCGAUAUUGCUCGUUUUUAAGUUGUACCUGUCUCCCUAACAAUGAACCCUAGACCAUAGGGUCACAUCGGCUUCCUCCAGAUACUCAGCAAGAUCCGGAUUUGCACUUCGUAUCUCAUCCAUGUACCGAUCAAAAUCGUAAAGUGUAUGAGCAUAAGCAGCACCUUUCACUAAGUACAAGAGAUGCUUCCCUUUAUACUUUUUGACAAUAUUCUCUUGAAGGUGAUAAUAACAUAUUCCUCGGGUUGCCCAAGGAAACACCUUUUCACACGCAUUUAUAAUGGAGGCGUGCCUGUCGGAGACUAUCACCAGAGGAUACUCAUCAGAUACACAGCUCGCCAAUUUUGUGAAAAACCAUUCCCAAGAUUCAUCAUUCUCACCAUCUACGAUCCCAAAAGCCAAUGGAUAUAUCUGAAAAUUACCGUCUUGUGCGGCUGCAACCAACAUAGUACCCCCAUACUUCCCACUUAGGUGAGUCCCAUCUACCACAAUGACCCUUCUCUGAUACUUAAAUCUUCUGAUUGAAGCUCCAAAAGCAAGAAAUAGAUACUUAAAUCUAUUCAGAGAAUCAAGUUCUAUAGCUGUGAUAGAACCCGGAUUUGCUGCCUCGAUUUGCUCCAAAUAUGAAGGCAAUCGCUCAUACCCGUCUUCCGCUGAUCCUCUCACCAUUUCUUGCGCAUAUAACAAUGCUCUGUAUGAAGUGGUGUAAUCAAGUGUCAUGCCAAACAUGUUCUUCAUUGCAUCUUUGAUAUGCUGCGGAUUCAACCCAUCAAUGAUUCUAACUCGAUCUAUGAAAAGUCGACCAAUGUACUUCGGAGUACAACGUUUCCGCUGAGCGAUUCUGUCUGGGAUGGAACAUGUAUGAGUUGCCAAAUACUUGGUUACCCAAAACGUUUUAGUCCCAUGUUUCACACUUGCUCGGACCUUCCAUUGACAACCACUAACACGACAUGUUGCCACAAACAGAGUUUUCGUUGACUUGAAUAUUCUGAAGGAGAACCUACGCCUCACCGCUGUCGACCGCAACUCUGAAAGCAGUGCAUCCUUACUAGCAAAACUCUGGUUGACAUAGAUUCUGUCUGCAGAUGAUCCUUCUCCUUCACAACCAUAUGCCCCUUUGUAAUCAUCAAAACAGAUUUCAUCAUCUUCUUCCUCAUCCUCAUCUUUAACAUUUCCAUACUCACUAUAAUCCUCAGCAUCAGCGACAACAGGGAUGUCAGCAUCCUCCUCCCCAUCAUGAUCCUCAGCUUCAUCCCCCUCUUCAGCUUCAUGCCCCUCCUCAGCUUCUUCCCCCUCCUCAGCUUCAUCCCCCUCUUCAUCUUCAUCGCUUACAUCAGCUUCAUCCCUCUCCUCAGCUUCAUCCCCCUCCUCAGCUUCAUCCUCCACAUGAUCUUCAUCCCUUUCCUCUGAAACCGUUCUCAUCUUGCUAAAGCUUGAUACACAAAGACGUACUUCAUGCGUUUUAGUUAUCUCGAGCAAGUUCCGAACUUGUCUAUCACUUGUAACAUGAAUAGGAGGAAGGUCUGGAGCCAUCUGUUGUAAUGAGUAGAUUAGCUCCACAGACUCUGUGUUCAUGUCCAGGUUAUAAUCUUCUUGAGUCAUUGCAACAAGAUCAGCAUGUGUCGAACCUUCAUUCAAAAAUAACAUUCUCGCUCCUUUGAAAUGAUCAACCACAAAAUUCCAACAUCCAUCUUUCAACAACCAUUGUCCAUACACUGCAUGUAACUGACGCAUCAUCUGAAAAAGUCAAAAUAAAACACAUUAGCAAACUUAGAACAAAGAAAACAAAAGUUUAUUAAAGAUCGAAGCGGACGACUUCAAUCUAAGUUGUCUAGACUACUAAACUAUACGUCGUCUGGUCAACGCAGAGGUUAUUUUUGCAAUUGAAUUUGAAAUCUGGCUGUCGACGACUUACCUGGAAGUCGUCUGGCUGUAGACGACUUAACUUUCAGUCGUCUCAGGUUACAGAUUUCAAAGUCAAUUGCAAAAAUAACCUCUGCGUUGACCAGACGACUUCUAGGUAAGUCGUCUACAGCCAGACGACUUCCAGGUAAGUCGUCGACAGCCAGACGACUUCCCAAGUAAGUCGUCUGACGAACAGAUCUGGAAAAAAACUCGAUUUCAUACCUUAAAUUGGUGAGAUAAGUUCCUUAGCAUACAUAAGGCUUCUCCAAGCACACAGAAUCACAAACGAAAGUGACCCACCCUGAAUCGUUAGCUUCUAUGACUCUAUGAACCAUAAAAAUUUUAGAAUCAAAAUCUUGGGUUUUCUUAGCUCAUUGUGGAGAGAAAGUGAAAGAUAUGUUGUGUUUAGUUCACAAGAAUGAAAAAAGAAGAAGGGUAAAUCGAUUUUGGGAGCAUUAAGAGCUUCAAAUUGGUUGUUCAUGGUGGUUGUGGUAUUGAUGACAAUGGCAAUCUUGUAAUUACUUGAAGAUGAUGAGGGUGAGAGAGUAAAAAUGUCAUUUUCGAAAAGAAAAAAAAAAUUGAUGGCAUUUUCGUAAAUUAUAUGAACUUGUGGAGUGAAUACGGCAAAACUAAUUUCAAAAAAAAAGGGAGGUUAGUUUUGUGUUUGACUUUAAGUUGUAGGUCAAUUUUGCAAAAACCCCUAUGAAUUUCUAUGAAUAGGUCUAUUAGGUUCAUUUUUAAAAAAAUCACAAAUGAAUCAAGGUUGUGACUUCUGUUUUAAUAUAUAAGAUAUAGGAAAGUUGUUUCUUUAUUUAGUCGCUCUUUUUUUAUUGGAUAAUCGACUAAUCGUUUUCGCUAAUUAAAACAGCCUAUAGGCUUCUCAUUACGCUAUAUAUUUGAACAACAUUGUCGGCAUAUUAUAAUUCUAUUACGUCUAACCUAUUUUAAAAAAUGAUAUAGUACUAUACUAUAUAACAAAAUCUCAUCGUUAUUAUCAUUAUCGUACAUCCGUCGUUAUUCAUUCGUGCUAUAUAAUACGGCUAUCGCACCAAGCAGGCAACGUGAUAUGAAAUAUAUUAACAUUUUGGUUAGGAAUAACGUAACAGAAAAAUAUGUCGUCAGCUAUGUGACGAUUAAGUAAAGUGAGGCACUUAUUUACUAAUUUAAUGAAAGAAUAUACACAGUAGAUUAGGCCAAUUUCGUCAACUUGUUGGGAAAGUAGCCAACAAACCCAAUACAAAACUAAAUUCUACUAGUUAGUUUCUUGGUAAAACUCAACUAAUCGUAACUUUACGCUGUUUUAUUAUUUUUUCCUAAAUCAUGAUAAUAUCGAAUAUGAUUAAAUCAUUUAGUUAUUAAAAAUAUUAAAUCAUGUUAAUAAAGUAAGUAUAUUAGUAUACUAUAUAUAUAUUUUUUAUUUUAGUUAGGAAAGAAAUGCUAAGCCACAGAAUCUAAUAUGUUUCCUAAAUCAACGGUCAUGAUUGAUUAAGAAUAGUCUUCCUUUUGACCAAGUCUAAUCACUAAACCUAAAUAAAUAAACAACAAACGAAGGCAAAUGCUGUUUUGUUACUUAUUACAAUCUCACACAGCCUUGAGACACAACACAAAAUGGCUAACUCAAACGAUUGGUCUCACCUCUACAGCAACAACCAAGCCUUCUACACAACUUCCACCAUCACUUCAACCGCCGUCACAACCACCACAGCAGCUUCUCCCUCCGGUGAAGCCACCUCCAUGGACUCUCGUCUUAGUCCAGAAACAGGCCGUGUAACCAAACCGGCACGUAGAAGAUCAAGAGCCUCACGUAGAACACCAACAACACUUCUCAACACGGACACAUCAAACUUCCGCGCCAUGGUUCAGCAGUUCACGGGCGGUCCAUCCGCUAUGUCUUUCGGGUCAGGUAAUACCACUUCCGGUUUUAGCCUCACCUCUUCGUCGGAUCCAUCCGCCGGAUCUUCCCAACAAGUUCCUUGGCAAUAUAGUUACCAGCCUCACGCGCCGCCUCCACCGCAACAGCCUUAUAUGUUCUCGUUAAACAACAUGAAUCCCGUCGUUGGGUAUAGUAACAUGAACAACCCUAAUACGAUGGUUCCUGGUGGUUUUGGAACCGCGGGCGGUGGAGGAGGAGGUUCUGCUCCGUCGUAUAAGGAAGCCACGAAUAGUAAUACGUCGUCUUCGAGACUGCAAUGAGAAAACGAUUGGAUUCUUUUGAAAUAUUUUUUUCUCCUUUUUCGCAUAAAGGCAGAAAUGUUAGGUACUGACUUUCUUUUGUCAUAGAAUGACAACUUUGACUGUUGUAUAUUUAAGUUUUUCGUUUUCAUAUUCAAGCUUUUUAUCUUUGUUUUAGGCGUUGAGCAUUUGUUUACAGCGUUAUCACUUAUCAUGGUCCUAAAUAAGCAAAUAUUCAAUGACUGAAGUUGCACACUUGCUUGCAUUCAAAAGAAAAACUCCAGUUUGGCAGUAAGCAAAAUAAAAUAACGUCUCCAAAUAAAUCUAUAUGUUUUUACGAGAAUACAUUAUCUGUUAUACUCCCUCUGUUUCAAAAUACAUGAAGUUUUAAGAUUAUACACAACUAUUAAAAAACUUGUUUUUUAUUUUAAAAAUAUCAUUAAAAUAUAAAUUAAAAAUUAUUUAACCAAUCACAAAACAGACUACAAAAUAUCAUUAGCUACACAGUUUUUGAUAAAGUGAAAAAAUACAUUGAUAUAUGAAAACAUCAUCUAUUUUGAAACAUCAAAAACUACCUAAAACAUCAUCUAUUUUGAAACGGAUGGAGAAUAAAUUAUUAUGGCAUCCAUAUUUUCUACUAGACUUAGGUAAACUAAAGCAAUGUUCUCGAACACUAAUAUAUCACGUAUAUAUAUUAUAUAUAUUAACGCUCUAUAUAUGUUAAAAACAUACUUUCACGUAAAGUUCUGAACUACAUGUGAAAAAUUGAAAUUUCUUCAAUAUUAUUCAAAUUAAUAGUAGUAUAUAUGUAUAACGUGCAUGUAAUGGAGGAAAUGUGAGAGAAAUAGCUUACAUCCAAUUUCUGUAUUCAUUUAUUGUAGGCAUUCAAACAUGAAAAUUAGUUAGUGUGAAUGUAGUUUUAUCUGCUUUGCCAAAUUAGCUCGAUAAAAUGCAAAAUAUGAAUAUAACUUUAUAUAACUUAUUUUAUAAAAUGUGCAUGGAAUGGAGGAUGCCUACAAUAAAUGAAUACAGAAAUUGGAUGGAGAAUGCCUACAAUAUAUGAUCCACUUAAGCUACAUUCAUUUACUUACACCCCAACGAUUGUAUUCUUAUUCGAUAAAACUGUAACUGUAAGUGAAUGUUCUUUUACCAAAUUGUAGCGAUAAUAUAGAAUAUGAAUAUAAGUUAAAACUUUAUAGUUUGCUUCUUUUUAUGGCACAAUAUAUUUUCUAUUGUCAUAUAACUUGUAGACGGAAAACGAUGACUAUCCUUUUCCAGUUCACAAUUUGAUUACUUUUUUCUUUGUCUUCAAUCACUAACUUUAUAAGAUUGUUGAAAUAUAUUUGAAGGAGAAUUUUCGCCAAGACCAGAAUAAUCUUUUAACAUUAAAAUAUGGUGAUGAUUAAUUGGAUCAUAUAGAAAUUAAACUUGCUUUUCGUUGGAAACAGAGGAAGCUUUUGGGUGAAGGUAGGCUACCAACAUUAACACACCUAGAUUCUUACGUUAUCGUUUAUUUUUCCUCUUUUAAUUUCUUCCCGCUCAUAUUAAUUAUGAUUUAGACUGAAAGUGAGAUGGAUCUUUUGAUUUAGAUCGAUGUUUUUGUUAAUAUAGAGUUUGGCCAAUAUACCAAAGCCAAACUCUAUACUUAUAGAAUGUCUUUAGUUUUUUUUCUUAGUCUUUUGCAUUUUUAAUAGAUUUUAGAUUCUUAAGAUAAAUCCAUAAAUUAAUAAGAGAAUAUUUCUAUCAUGUUGUAGACGUGUUUAUAUUUGACAAAUAAAAUAAUAUAAAAGGAAUUAACAAUGAAGAAUCUUAUUAAAAAAAAAGUAACAUCGACGAAGUGACAAAAAAAUUGAGUGAUAAAGGGGUUGUGAAGAGGGGAUGUAUCUAAUACGCAUUGUGGGUCCCUUAACCUCAAGUGAAAUUUCCUUUUCUUAACUGAAUUUGAAUUCAUUCAUCAAUUAUUAUACUAUACAACUAGGCAAUAAUCCGCACCUUGCGCGAAAUAUGAUUAUUAGUUUCGUUAUUUUUUAAUAAAGAGACAUUAAUCUAUUUAAUUUGAAUAUCGGUUCGGUUUUAGGUUGAUUUUUGGUUUUUAAUCUCCUAAAAUAUAACUAUCAUUUUAAAUCAAUAUUUAUUUUGUUUGUUCGGUUAAAAUGUUUGAUGUUUUUGGUUUUUUUUUCAUGUGAUAAUUAAAAAUUACUAUUAUUUGUUUGUUUUCAUGUUAUGAAACUUAGAUAGUCGUGAUGUCGAAUCAAUGGUUUCAUAUUAUAGUUUCUAAAUAGAUAAUAGUUCAAAAAGAAAAGAAAAUUGUUAAGACAAAUCAUUUUACUACAAUUUGGUCGAUAGGGAAAGAAGCCUUAAGAAAAAGAAUAUUUUAACUUCAAAAAAAAUUUAGAUAUUUCAGUUGUGGUAAAUAUUUAGUUAUAAAGUGCUCACGUCAAUGUGUCCAUGUAUGUGUAUGUAAAGGUAUAUAAAGAUGGUUGUUAAAUAUAUAAAGAUAAUGUUAAUUAAUAUUAAAUGAUAUUUUUUCAAAAUAAUACAUGAAAAAUAAAAUUCUUAAAAUGAAUUUAUUUAAAAAUAAAAAUACUGUAAAAUUUAUAUAAACUAUAAUAUAUAACUUAUAUAUAAUUCUUUAAAUAUAUGUAUAUAUAUAUAUAUGCAUAUAACAGAUCAAAUUAGAUAUUCGUUCCUAUAAAUACUGAUAUUUGUGGUUUGCUCUUUUUUUUACUGAUAUUGCAUUUUAGUAUUUAAUUUGCUUCGUACAGUAACGAAUAUCCAGAUUUUUCGGUUCAAAUCAAAAUUUUAUGAAUAAUUGUCUAGCUGUAUUCGUAAACAGUAAAAAUAACGUAAAGAAGAACCAUGCAUGUGAGUUUUAUAUUAAAAAAAUGUAAAGUACAUAGUGUGAACAUAUUUAUGUAGUGUUUGGCUGAGAAACUCUGUACAUGUAAUAUGUGUCCAUUUUAGUGUGAACACAUUUAUUACAAUGCUUCUACACGUGACAUGUGUCCAGUUUAGUGUAAAUGCAUUUAUUACAAUGCUUCUCUUUUAAUAUAUAACGGAUUAUACAAAACAUCUUAUUACGAUCCUCAAUCUUAUACUUUGGUAGAUUUUGAUGUUAUUUAUGAUUAAAUUAGCCAUCUUCUUUCAUACAUACUUAAAUAAAUGCGAUAAUCAAUUCUUUUGAACAAGUAGAUAUAAAGGGUGAUUUUAAAACACAAGAGGAAGCAUUUUUUUUUUGUCAUCAAACAAACAAACUCAUAUUAACUAUGUGAACCAAACUGGUAGCUCUGCAUCCAUGUGAACGACGAAAGACGAUUGUUUUCUUGCACUCUGUACUAGAUUAUCCGUCUUUUGAUUCUCCGUUCGGGGUACAUGAAUGAUCUCUGAGCUGAAGAAACAUGUCUUCAGCAUCUUUAUAUCUUCUAGAUAAUUUUCAAACGCCAGCUAUUCUUUUGGUUCCGAAACCAUCUUCACCAAUUGAGAACAAUCCAUAGCAAAUGUGACAUAAUAUUGAUGUAAAUUUCUCAUACACUCCAUCACCCAUAUUAACGCUUCCAUCUCCGAAUGGAGAGGUGAAAGACUUGCCCGAAUAUUCCUUGCACCCAACAAACCAUCAAAUCCCUCAAGAAUAUUAUACCAACCCUCGUCUGAAUAAUACUCUUUAUCUUUCCAAAAACCAUCUAUAAAGCACCAAGGACCUGUCCUCCUCGGACAGUGCCUAACCUCAACUUGUUGUGAUGGCUGCUGAAUAUUCUUCACCUGAGCCUCAGCCCAAAGUUUGGAUUCGGUCUCCGCAAGAUUAAGUGUAUCUCGUGGGUCCAUAUCCAAAUUACUAAAAACUUUGUUAUUCCUACCUUUUCAAAUGUACCAUAAUAUCCAUACAAAAUGAUGAUCUUCCCUCUCCGGGAUAACCCUCCAGAAAAAAUGAUCCAAAUUUAUGAAGAUAGAACUAGUAGGGAAAAGAUCUAGGUUUGACAGUAUCUUUGACAACGCCCAAACUUGACGCAUAGGAGGACAUUAAAAAAAUACAUUAUUUAUUGAUUCCUCAUCAGCUCCACAUCGAGCACAACAUAUAUCUCCUUGAAUUCUUCUCGCUUGCAAAUUCUUUUUUCACAGCCAUACAUCCUGAUACCAUCUAUCAUAGAAAAUGAUUUAUUUUCGGAGGGUAUCUCAAUCUCACCUUCCAACAAAACGCUUUUAAAAUAUCCACUGUAGGACCAUAGACCUACGGUGGUUUUGCCUUAUCCGGAUAGACCCGUUCUAGCUGGUAUCUUGAUUUAACCGAGUAUUUCCUAUUAGUUGUGAAAUGUCAUCCAUCACUAUCCAUCAUCUGGUUUCUACUCAGGAGUAUAAUUUUAAUAAUUUUAGCAUUUUAGGAGUCCACCAGAGCCCAAAUUUUUUGCGUAUUCCAAGUUAGUAAAACUGGAUCAAUGAAAAAGUCUACAAUAGGUAGCAUUGAAUUGGAAUAAACUAUCUACUAUUCUUUCACCUAACAGUUUUUUGUAGUAAUAUAGUUUAGAAAUGUAUUUAAUUGUAUAUAAAUAUAAAUAUAAUUAUAAAUAUAUAUAUAUAUAUCUUAUGAGUUUAUUGAGUGGUAGAUUAGUGGUUGAGUUGUAGUUUUUCUAGAUGGUCAUGUAAAUUUCAAACUCCAUCCAUAUGGUAAUGUAAUGAUAUUACAAAGUAAAAACCAAAAUAAAAACUCUCACUCAGAAGUUCCAGAGCAGUUUGAUUUUUGAAGUCGCACAUUGUCGGAGGAAGCUUGAAUAGUGAUAGAUAAGACAACUCAACUAGAAACUUCGCGAGAUCCAUUUGAAUCACCUCAUUCGUACAUAAAUAAACACUCAUUUUAUUCAAAAAUUCAGAUAUAAGGUUUAAGUUUAACCAGUGUUUAAUUGUUUAUAAUCACCUUCUGGUAACUAUCUUAUUAAAAGGAAAAUUUCAUAAUUACCCAACUAAAUUUCGUUAAAUUUUUUUAUAUCCAAACUUUUAUACUACAUAGUUUAAUACUUCAACUAAUUAUUUUGCUCAGUUUAAUACGCUUGCUUUUAAAACUAUGUUCAUUUUAAUACACAAACUAUGCUAAUUUUAAUAAUAAGUUUUAAACAAAACUUUAAAAAUCUUUAAAUUUCAAAAACAAAAUUUAUUACCUAUUUUCUUUUUUAAAUAACAUAUGUUUGGAUAAUCUUAAUUUUUAUAAUAUUAGUUUUAGUGCUAAUUUCAAUUUUUUUUAUUUUCUGAAGUUUAAAAUAAUUUAUUUAUUUUAUUCAUGAUUAUGGUUUUCUAAAUUUUAAAAUACUAUCUCGUUAGUUUUAUUCCUAAAAAAUUAAAAUAAAGAUUUUUAAAAUUUUAUUUAAAACUUAUUAAUAUCUUUGAUUAAAAUUAAUAUAGUUUGGGUAUUAAAAUAACACAUUUUUAAAAGUAAAUGUAUUAAAAUGUGCAAAAUAAUUACUUGAAGUAUUAAACGGGUAUCAAACUGUGUUGGGUAUUUAACUAAGAUGAGUAAACUUUACAACAUUUUUUAUUUUAUUUUUGUCAUGAAAGUAUCAUUCAUUGAUUAGGUUGUACCAUUGUCAAUAUUUUCUUGUCAACGUACCAAUGUCAAUUUGUAAAGUUGAUCACAAACAGACUAGAAACCAUCUACAAGAAAUAAGGAUUCAACUUUUGUGAAGUAUUAUUGUCAAUUUGUGAAGUUGAUCACAAACAAAUUAUGAAUCAUCUGCAAUAAGAAAUAAGGAUUCAACUUCGGAAAUUGUGUCAAUUUAUGAAGUUGAAUCUUUAUUUCUUCUUUCAGAUGGUUCAUAGUCCAUUUGGGAUUAAUAAGUCAGUUUGUGCUUUGUAUAAACAACUCAAAUCUAGAGUAUUUCGUUCAGUUUUUGUAUCUACAACAGCGGGUGAUGACGAUGACAAUGGCGAUGGCGAUGAAAAUCCAGAUGGGGAUGGGAUUCUUCCUAUUGAUGGGAGGAAGAAUAGAGGAAGACAAUUUACUGAUGAUGUCAAGACAAACAGUUGAUCAAAGCCAAAGUUGUUAGCUGUGAGGUCUGGAGACAAAUGGAAGGUUGAUUGAUAUUGUAACCCGUAUGUUAUCAUCUCUCGGGGGAUCAGUUGCUCAUGUUUAUCAGUAUGAUCAUAUCGUUCCCUGGUGAUAGUUGAUUACAACUUUUAAAGACACACUAAAUUUAUGAUGAAACAAACAAAAUUAACUAAUUAAAUCAUUUAUAAAUGUUUAAAAAAAUAUUUAUAGAAGCUUAUAAACUAACUCCACCUCUUAAAUACUAAAACCUAAACAAUAAUCAUAAAUCUUGAAUCCAAAUAUUAGAGUAUUUUUGAUUGAUCAUAUUUUUUUUCUUUUUUUGAGCAAAGAUUGAGCAUAUAUAUUUUUAAAAUAGUAGCCAACUUAGAAUAUUUCAAGAAAUUUCGCUUAAAAGUAUCAUAUUGGUGUAAAUAUAAAGACUAUCUAAUUAUAUAUGUAAUUAUACUGCUGAUUUUAUUUUAUAUAUUUAAAUUAGGAACUAAAUGGAGUGAAAUGGAGGGUUGGUAUGUUAUCAUCUCUCACGAGGAUCAGAUGCUCAUGUUUAUUAGUAUGAUCAUUUCAUUCUCUGGUCAAAAUCACAUGACUCAAGCCUGGAGAAUUGUCAGGUACUCCAAUCAAUGGUGAAUACUUGGAAUGACGCUUUAUUACAGCUAUAAAUUUGGUUUGUUAAGCUUUUAAACUCAUAUUCUCUGUUUUGGAAGAUAAAUUGUCUAUUUGAAUUUUAGGGUCUGCUGUAGCGAUGAUUCACAAACUCUCAACAAUGGGAUCAUCACAAGAUAAUCAAGAACAGAUAAAGUCGUCUAAAGUAGAUAAUCUUCUUCUUGCAUAGCUUACAUAAUUCAUCAAAGUUAGCUUUUUUUUUGUUUGUUUGUCAAACGAAUUGUCUUGUAACCUCUUGUUAUUUGUGUCUUUGUCUAGUAGAUAUGUUUCUUACUUUGUGAUUACAAAUUAAACUCGAGAGUUUAGAUUUUUUGGUCUCUCGUUUGCCUUUAUUUUGAAGAAGUGUGAAACUUAUGAUGGUCCACAAAACUAGUCAAAUAACACAAGCUACUGAUUGGGGUUUCAUGUGGGACAAACCCAAGUUGAAACCCUCCAAAACUUUUGUACUAUUUUAACAUCUCUGUUUUUUUUUUUUACUUAUUUUUUGGUUAAAAUUGAGACUUUAGGCAUAUAAUAAGAAAACUUUCAGUAGAGUAUCUCAACUUAAAAUAAAUAAAAAUAUAUUAUUGUUCGAUUAUGAAUAUUUCAAAACGAGAAAAACUCAAUCGAAAAUAUCACAAAACGGUGAAAAGUUCAGUCCAAAAUAUCUCAAAUAAUAUAUUUUGACUAAUUUCUCAUCACUCUAAGAUAUCUAAUGAUAUUAGAUCAUUAUUUUAUUUACUUUUUAGAACUACUAAUUUAUUAUAAAAUUUUUGCUCUAGAUCCAUUUCCAUUUUAGUUUUUAUCAUGAUAACUCAAACAUUAAAAUAACUAAAAUAAGAACUUGCUAGAUACUCACAAGAUACUAUGAAAAAUAAUUUGCAUAACAUUAUUGGUCAAAUUUUUUUAAAAAAAUAUUGAAAUUCAAUAGUUUUAUAUAAGUAAACUUAAAAUAACUGAAAUAAAAACUUGCUACAUAAUCACAAAAUACUACGAAAAUAUUUGGCAUUAUAUUAUUAGUCAUUUUCUUAGAAGUAUCUUGAAAUUUAAUAGUCUUAUAGUAAAAACUAUAUAAAGUAAUGAUAUUGGAAUUACGAAAUUUUAUUAUUUUUAGAGUUAUUAAUUUACAAAAAAUAUUUUUAUAUUUUAAAAUAUAUUUUUAAUAAAAUAAGAUAAAUUGUUUAUUUUGUCGUGUAUAUGUUAAUUAAAUUAUUAAAAUUAGACUUUUAUUAUUUUUGUUAUACUAUUUGGUGUAUACAAAAUAUGUUUCAUAGAAUUUAAAUGUAGUUUUUAGAUAUAAUUUGACCUAAUAUUUUCAAAAUAUAUUGAUGUGUUAAGAAAAAUAAAGUUCAAUUUCAUUGUGAAUGUAAAAUAAAUAAUACAAUGAUUUUUUUGUACAUAUAUAAACAUUGUAUGUAUGAAUUAUUAAUUUAUGAUUUUAAUGGAUUAUAUAGAUACAUUGAAUUUUCUAAAAAAAUAUAUUAUCUUAUUUUUUCGAUUUGUGUCAUAUUUUGAACCGGGCAAAUUCGAGACCGAAGAAAUUUAUUAAUUUACUAUGUUUGUAACUGAUCGAGUAUUAAUUUAUAGUAUUUGUACCGUAUAACUGAACUUAAAUAAAAUUAAAAAACACCGAAAGAAUAUCUUAAAGUGAAAACAAUCAUAAAACUAUAAUGUUUACAAGAGAUGAUGCGUAGUGAAGAUGAGAGAAAGGAAACUACAAUGGUUUUGUUUUAUUUAUUUAUAUACAUCAUUACAAGAGAUGAUCAGCUUGCAGUGGUACUUGUAUACAAAGAACAAAGUGUACAAGGCGAGGUAAAUAAUGGAUCUACAAUCUCACUUAAAUCGUCUUCCAAUGGCUUAGAACCUCCAUCUCCUGUCUGGCUGAAUAAUGUUUCUCUUCCAAUGAUGAACAACGAGUGUUUAUGACCAUAGAGAAUUGCUGCAAUGUUACCAACAAAUGAGAGUUUUGGGCGCUUACCCACCUUGAAUCAUCUCACUUCUUAACACAUCUUCUCUCCUUAUUCUGUGAGAGCUAAAAGAGUUACUAGCAUUCUACAUCACUCCUCUAAUUCCAAACUUGGGGUAACCAUAGGGAAUGUUGUCAGAUACGAAUCACCUCUCAUAUCUUUAGCCAAACCCUCAAUGACAUCAUAUAUCUCAUCACUCUGAGGAUGCUCUUGAUCUCUAGACACAAAACAAUUUACAUUACCUGCAACUUCAAUCCCACUACGACCAACUUCUUUCCUUAAACCCUUUUCUCUCAUUCCUCUCCUCAACCUAUCAACACUCGUCCAUUUCUGUUCCUCAGCAUACAUAUUCGAGAGCAAAACCUGAUAUCCUGAAAAGUUCUUCCCUUUAUCCACUUUAGCUAACUUCUCUGAAACAGUUUCAGCAAGCUCAAUCUCACCGUGUACUCUACAAGCUCCCAGGACCGAACCCCAUAGCUCAGCAAUGUUUCCUUCUUCACCAAGCCCUUUAACAAACUCGUAGGCUUCAUCAACGCGGCCUACUCUCCCUAACAUGUCUGUAACGCAGCAAUAGUGCUCAUUGGAAGGCUGGAUGUUAUAAACUUCACUCAUUUCCUCGAAUAUUUUGAGACCUUCAUCCACUAAACCGGAAUAGCUGCAAGCUGAUAAUACUGCAACAAAGGUGACAGCAUCUGGUUUGACUCCAGACUCUUCCAUUGAACGAAACAGCGAGAUAGCUCUCUCACCCAUUCCGUGUUGACCAUACCCCAAUAUCAUCGUGGUGUACGUCACAGAGUUUCUCUCUUUCGUUUGGUAAAACAUGUUUUCUGCGUACUGUAUCGCUCCUGACUUUGAGUACAUAUCAACUAACGCAGAAGCAACAAAUACGUUCUGAUCCAAGUACUGCCUUAUAGAGAAACCAUGUAGCUGUUUACCUAAGUCGAAACUACCUAUCUGGCUACACGCAGGGAGAAUCGACGCCACAGUUAUGGCAUUGGGUUUGAUAUUCUGUUCUAACAUCUUCCUGAACACAGCAAACGUUUCCUCUGUGUGUCCGUUCUGCGUGUACCCGGACAUCAUAGAGUUCCAAGUAGCUUGAUCUCUUUCAGCAUAGCCACUUCUCUCGAAAAGCUUCUCUGAGAUCCUUAUUAGACCUGACUUAGCAUACAUGUCAAUAAGGUAACUGUUCAUCCCCUCGAACUGAAUCCCUUGCCUUAAAAGGAAACCAUGAGUCUGCUUCCCAAUCUCCUUGUUUCUAAGAUUCGACGCAGCCGAAAGCAAAGCAGUCACUGUUAUGUAAUCGAUCUUAAACCCCUGCUUCUGCAUCUCAUACACCAACAUCAAUCCUUCAUCAUCUAAGCCGUUUUGGACAAACGCAGAGAUCAUUGUGUUCCACGUCACAACAUCUCUCUCUCGCAUCGAAACAAAGACCGCAAAGGACUCGUGCACAGAGCCGCACCUCGAGUACAUCACCAUCAACGAGUUGAAUAUCACAACGGGAAGCUCCUGAAAGUUCUUGCUGACAAAACCAUGAAACUGUCUACCUAACUCCACUUGCUGCAGCGCUGAAACUGCACUCGCUGCCAAGAGGAACGUUACUUCGUCAGACACAAUCUCUUUCGAUCCUAUUGCAUCAAGAAAAAGAUCGAUACUCUCAACCAGGUACUCGUUCUGAACAUAGACUCCUAUCAUUGUAUUCCACACCUCAAUAUUCCUCUCUACACAAGAAUCAAACACUCUCCGUGACGCUUCAAUAUCGCCAAGCUCCGCAUACAUAGAAAUAGCCGAGCUCACAACAAACAAGUCCUUCACAUACUCAUCUCCCAACUUAAGCAUCAAACCAUAAAAUACUUUAGCUCUCUUAACACUUCUCGAACUCGCCACCGCGGGGAAGACAUUCACAAAGCUAACCGGACUCGGUUUAAUCUCCAUCCUCAUCAUAAUCCCAAACUGCCUACACGCCUCAGCGUGUCUCUCCGUCUUCACAUACCAAGAAACCAACGUAUUCCACGCCACAACGUUCUUCCUACGCAUACUAUCAAAAACCUUACGCACCACGUCGUACUCGCUUCCAGGAGGAGGGUGGUUCAAGCAAGAAACGUACAUAUUCAACAGAGAGUUAUGAACAACCCUGCUCGAGUUCUGCAAGCACCGGAUCAAAUGGCAAUGCACGGCUUUACCAGCCUUCAGGUUCCUGGUCUCGGCGCAGGCCUUGAGCGUGGAGGAGUAAGUGUAAGGGUCGCAUUUGGUGAAAGGAGCGGUCUUUUUCAUCCGGGAGUAGAAAAGGAGAGCCUCGUGCGGGAGGUUGUUGCAGAUGAGGCCGAUGAUAAUGGUGUUCCAUAGGACGGUUGUUGGUUUGGGAAUUGCGUCGAACAGCUGGCGUGCGAGCUGUGGGUUUCCUUUUUGGCAGAUUCUGCUGAGGCGUGAGCGGAUUGAAGGUGUUUGGGGAGUUGGGUUUGUUGGUGGGGCGAAGGUGGAAGAGCGGCGGGUUUGGUUUGGCGGGGGAGAGUGGAACGAAAGUGGCGGUGGUGGUGGGAGAGGUAGAGCUGAUCCGGCCAUUGUGGAAGAGAUGAUGAAGAACGAAAUGAAGAUACGUUAUUGACUCUCUCUUCCGCUUAUGUUAUCAUCAUCUUUCUUCAGUGAUAAGAGUUUGUUUAUUAUCUAUUUUUUAUAAGAUAGAUUACCAUUUUUCAAAGUACACUAAAUUUGUGAUAAAAAAAAAUAAAAAAUAGACCAACUAAACUAUUUAUUAAUGUUUAAAAAAAUAUUGGGUAAAUAAUCCAUAUUUUCCCACCAAAAAUAUUGGGUAAGAAACUAUCAAUCUCGUCUUAAUUAUAUGUAUCUAUAUUAUUAAAAGAGAAGUACCCAUUUGAAAAUGUUUUUACUUCAUUAAUUAAACUUCCCUUUUUUUUGCUUGUCUUUUUCAGUUGCAUUUAUGAAAUAUCCUAAAACAAAUAAAACUGCCUAAUUGAUUACUUGUCUUUUCAGUUACAUUAAUGAAAUAUGCUUAAAUGAAUUUAAACUUCCUAUUUUAUUGUUUGUCUUUUUCAGUUACCUUAACGAAAUAUCCUUAAAUAAAUUUGGACAUAAUGUCAUUUAAUCAACCAAAAAAACUCAUGAGUUAUCCUUACGUGCAUAAUUUUAAUAAUGGAGAUUUUUAAAAAGAGAAAAUGACACAAAGAACACUAAAUGAAGUUUUCCUCCCCAAACUAGCACUCAGGAUCAGAAUUCACAAAAAUAGGUUUCAUUAAAUGGGCAAUUUACCCUUAUGCCCCCUUCUUUAACUAAUUUAAAAAACAAAUUUGAAAUCAAUUUGUCGCCGUCCUCGUUUCAUCGCUUCUUCUUCUCGUCUCUCCGUCGUCGUCGUCGUCGUCUCUCCGUCGUCGUCUCCCCGUCCUUGUCGUCGUCGUCGUCGUCGUCUCUCCGUCGUCGUCUUCGCCUCUCCGUUGAUCCGUCGUCGUCGUCUCUCCGUUUAUUUAUCGUCGUCGUCGUUUCUCAAUUGAUCUGUCGUUUCUACGUCUAUUCAUCUCAUUCUCUCUCUCGUGUGUCUGAUUUGAUUAAGGUUUGAAUCAUUUCAUUUUGUUAUACAUUAUCUAGGUUUUGUUAUAUAUUAUUCAUUUGUUGAUGAUUUGAAGUUGAUUUUGUAGAACAAUGGAAGUUUUGUGCAUCUGUGGACAAUGGAUCUCAAAAGAAUCUCUCCAGUGGGAGUUUCUUGUUGAUUUGAAGAGGAAUGCAUCAAUCAUUUCCAUAGAAGAAGAUCUACUGUAUGAAGAUUUGAUGAAGAUUGUCUCUGAAGAUUUUAGUGUUAAAGAGGAAGAAAUCAGUUUGAGUUAUGGUUUUUCAUUGGAUAUGAAAUGUAUUAUUGAAAGUUUCCCCCCACUCUCGAUAGGUAAUACUCGUCAGCUCAGAACUUUCAUUUCCAAGACUAGAGCAUUUGAUGGAACCUGUCGUUUGUGUGUUAAGGUUUGUAUGAUUUUUUCUUAGACUUUUCAGGAUAUGCUUCAUAACCAAGUAUUAUGCCUUACAGAACUACUUGACUUAUGCAGGUUAGUACUGAUCCAGUUAGCUGUAACACUCAAGCUUCUGAUACAUUUGCUUCUACUGUUCCAUUGAAUGCCAAUCCAGCGAUUCUUUCUACUGUGCAGAGUGAAAAACAGGUACAUUGUCCUUAAUUCCCUUUUUCUGUUUGUGUUUGCAUGAUAUGCUUCAUAAUCAAGUACUAUGCCUUACAGAACUACUUGACUUUUGCAGAGUCUUCUAUAUGAAGGUGUUUCUACAGUUCCUCUGAAUGCUCUUCCGGAUUUUAGUACUGAUUCAGCUAGCUGUAACAUUCAAGCUUCUGAUACAUUUGCUUCUACUGUUCCAUUGAAUGCCAAUCCAGUGAUUCUUCCUACUGUGCAGAGUGAAAAACAGGUACAUUGUCCCUAAUUCCCUUUUUCUGUUUGUGUUUGCAUGAUAUGCUUCAUAAUCAAGUAUUAUGCCUUACAGAACUACUUGACUUUUGCAGAGUUUUCUAUAUGAAGGUGUUUCUACAGUUCCUCUGAAUGCUCUUCCGGAUUUUAGCCCUGUCCAUAUUGGACUUUCACCAAACACGAGAGUAGCUGGCGAUAUUAAGGUGAAUAGCUAUUUUAAGACAAAGAGAGAGUUGAUGUUGAGGAUGAAGAAAUGGGCUUUAGAGUGGAAGUUUGAGUACAAGACUGUCUCUUCUAACAAGUCAAGAGUGCUUUUGAGUUGUGUUGAUGAAAAUUGCACGUGGAGGAUGCGUGCUAUCAAGCUACCUGUUUCAGAUUUUUUCGUUGUUAAAAAGUAUGUUCAUGAGCAUACAUGCGAUACAACACACAGGAAAGCCAACCACAGACAAGCAUCUGCAAAGUUGUUGGGUUCUUUGAUUUCCAGCAAUUAUGGAGAAAAAAAGGAAGGUCUCAAACCGAAACAGAUCAUUGAACAGGUCAGGAUGCUGCAUGGUGUUCACAUCAAUUACAAACAAGCUUGGAGAGUGAGAGAAGAAGCUCAGAUUUUGGUUAGAGGGACUCCUGAAGACAGCUAUUACAAUUUGUCUAGGUGGUUGUAUAAAAUCACAGAAACAAACCCUGGUUCCUUGACUUAUCAACAUGUUGAUGCUGCAGGAAAGUUCAAGUAUGCAUUUGUGGCUUUUGGUCCAUCGAUAAGGGGAUUUUCAUUGAUGAGGAGAGUUAUUGCAGUAGAUGGUACAUUUCUGAAGGGAAAAUUCAAUGGGACUUUAUUGGCAGCUUGUGCUCAAGAUGGGAAUUAUCAUCUAUAUCCUCUCGCCUUUGCAGUGGUUGACGCAGAAAACGGCGCCUCUUGGAAAUGGUUCUUUAGAGGUUUGAGCCAGAAGAUCCCGGACGCUUCGGAUCUUGUUUUUGUAUCAGACAGGGCUAACUCCAUUUCUUCAGCGUUGGAGGAUGUAUAUCCCUUAUCUCACCAUGGAAUUUGCAGGAUCCAUCUGCUCCGCAACAUCACUCCUACAUAUGCGAAGACUGGGUUGCUACCUCUGGUGGAAAGCGCUGCUGAUGCCUAUACGUGUCACGAGUUCUGGUUAAUCUUCAAGGACAUAAAGGAUAAAUGUCCUGAAUUGGCUAAGUAUCUGGAAGAGUCUGAUUUUAGGAAGUGGGCACGAAGCUAUGCGCCUGCGAACAGGUAUAAUAUCAUGACUACCAACAUUGCAGAGUCUCUCAAUUCUAUGUUGAAGAUGCCUCGUGAGUUGCCCAUUAUCUCUCUCCUUGAAACUAUCAGAUUGACGAUGACCACUUGGUUUUUUGAGCGACGCGAAGCGGCUGCGAAACAUAAGCACCUGGUUACUCCAAAAGUUGUUCAGAAAUUGGUAUCUAGGUUAGGGGCCGCAAUGUUGUUGAAUGUGUAUCAAGUUGAUCGAAGCGAGUUUGAGGUGAAGAAUGAAACAAUGAAGUUUGUUGUUGACUUGGAGAAGCGGCAUUGCACAUGUAAUGUUUUCGACAUUGACAAGAUCCCCUGCAUCCAUGCCAUCGCUGCUGCUAAGCAUAUCAAGAGAGAUGAAAACCGUUUUGUUGAUGCUUCUCACUUGACAGAAACGUGGGCUAAAGCUUAUGCUGAAAGCAUACAUCCUGGUGGAGAGUUGUCAACGUCCACCUAUCCAGAGAAUAUUGAUGAACUGUCUUGCCCACCUCCAGCUACCAAAAAGAAAAGUGGACGCCCUCCUACAAAGAGAAAGAGAUCCGUUGGCGAGUUUGGGGUUCCUGGAUCUAAAUCUCAGUCCCACAAGUGCAGCAGAUGUGGCACAGGAGGGCACAACAAGAUCACAUGCCAGAGGCCUAUAGGAUGAAGUUCUACAUUUUUACAUUUUUAUCGAUUAUUAUUUGGAUGUUUGGCUAUUUGAUGGUUACAUGAUAUGCACAAGACCAUAUACAUUUUUUCUUUUGGAACCCUAUCCUGAAUAAGUAUGAUUUCUUACAACUUUUGUAAUAUACAACAUUAUCUUUUGAUCUCAUUUCAAUUUUUAGUUUAAACUUCUUUGCUAGAAAAAAACACAGUAAUAUUCAACUAUUCUGGAAUCCCAUCCAACUUUUGUAACAUCCAACUUUUGUAAUAUACAAUGUAUUAUACUAUAAAUUGUAUGGGUAAAUUCAAUUAUGUGGAAGCAACUAACAGAUGAUUCUCCUCAGCCUAGCGGCUAAACCACGAAACCUAUGAUACCGAAACAUUUGAUCGACCCGGGUUCGACUCUCCUACGAGUAAUGGGUUUUUUUUUUUUUGUUCAAACAUAUAUCUCAGGAAUCACAUUUGUCGCAAUCGGAAGCCCAUCCUGAACUAUCAAAGAUCUUUCCAAUGUAUUAUACUAUAAAUUGUAUGGGUAAAUUCAAUUAUGUGGAAGCAACUAACAGAUGAUUCUCCUCAGCCUAGCGGCUAAACCACGAAACCUAUGAUACCGAAACAUUUGAUCGACCCGGGUUCGACUCUCCUACGAGUAAUGGGUGAUUUUUUUUUUUUGUUCAAACAUAUAUCUCAGGAAUCACAUUUGUCGCAAUCGGAAGCCCAUCCUGAACUAUCAAAGAUCUUUCCAAUGUAUUAUACUAUAAAUUGUAUGGGUAAAUUCAAUUAUGUGGAAGCAACUAACAGAUGAUUCUCCUCAGCCUAGCGGCUAAACCACGAAACCUAUGAUACCGAAACAUUUGAUCGACCCGGGUUCGACUCUCCUACGAGUAAUGGGUGAUUUUUUUUUUUUGUUCAAACAUAUAUCUCAGGAAUCGAAGAGUCUCUUCCAAACGAUAUCAUGUAACUCAGUAACCGAAGAGUUUCUUUUCGUCAAGAUUGGGUGUUAUAUGAUUGGUUAUUUCAGUAACUGACUUCAAUAAUCGAAGAGUUCCACAAUAAUCAAGAGUUUAUUUUAACUGACUUCAAUAAUCGAAGAGUUCCUUUUUGUUCUAUAAAUAUAAGGGACGAUAUCAGACCUUUUAUUCACUCACUUCAUUUCGCUUGAUAUAUCCUUUUGCAAUACAAGUUAGUUUUCGAUUUUUCUCAUUUUCCAUUCAAUUCAUGAACUUUUUUCUAUUUCUAUUUUAUCGUAACAUCUUAGUUUCGAUUUUGUUGCAGGACAAAGUUUCAAUGGAAGGAAGUUCAAAGAAGAUGAUGAAGCGUCCCAUAGAGGAGGUUUACGGAUGUGAUGCCGCCGAAGGUUUCAAGAAGGGGAAGAAGGAAACUGUGGAACAUUACAGGGCUCUUCUUCGUUUGUCCAACGAAUACAGGCUAUCUGAGAAUGAUUGGAAUCUUGCAUCCAGCAAAGCAAAUUCAAUUGCUGUCCAAAUCGAGUUGCUUGAAGAUAUUAUCAAAGCUGAUGGAAAAUUUGAUUUAACUGCUGAGUUGGAGAAACUCAAAGAAGAGCACUCGGAAGCGGAAGGAAUGCUUGCUGAUGUGAAGGUCAAAGUCCCUGAUUGGGAUAAACUUGGCGAAAGUUGGCUCCAUCAUGAGUAAUUUCAUGUUAUCGUCUUCUCUUUUUAUGUUUUUAAGGACCACAUUAUGUUUGAUUUUCAGUUUUUAUUUUAAAUGAAUAAGCACUUUUGUUUCUCUUGUGUUGUUUCUUCAAUUAACAACCUAAAUAAAAAACUUGUUCAAUGUUUUUCACUAUUUUGUAAUGGUUUGGCCUAGUGUUCUUAUAACUUGGUUAUCUGAUUUGCUUAUUUGUUUUUGGAAAGCCAUCCUGAAUACAUAAAAUGAUAUCCAGAUUAUAUAAAUCUAUCGUCUGUGAAUAAAUGAGUUCACAUUUACUCUGUUAUCGAAUAUCCAACGUAGCCUAGUGGCAAGCCCUUCUACUCUUAGUGUACCCUUAUCACACAAUAAGUCGUGUUCGAUCCCCGUUGUGUAUACUCACAUUUUUUUUGUUUUUAAUUAAAUAUUCAAACGUUAUUUUCGUUUUAUUGUAGCUUUUGGCAAGUAUAAGACCCUUGGUACAACGGCUGCACACUUGGAUUAAUCUAUCGAGAGUUCACGAGUUCAAUCAACAUCAGAUCACAUUCUUUUUCAUUUUUUUUUUGUAAACUUUAAAGGAAUUUGUUUUUGGAAAGCUAUCCUGAAUACUUAAAAUGAUAUCCAGAUCAUAUAAAUCUAUCGUCUGUGAAUAAAUAAGUUCACAUUUACUCUGAUAUCGAAUAUCCACCAUAGCCUAGUGGCAAGCCCUUCUACUCUUAGUGUACCCUUAUCACACAAUAAGCCGUGUUCGAUUCCCGUUGUGUAUAUUUUCACUUUUUUCUGUUUUUAAUUAAAUAUUCAAAAGUUACAAGUUAUUAUCGUUUUAUUAUAUCUUUUGGCAAGUAUAACACCCUUGGCACAGCGGCUGCACACUUUGAUUCAUCUUUCGAGAGUUCACGAGUUCAAUCAACAUCGGAUCACUUUCUUUUUCAUUUUUUUUGUAAACUUUAAAGGAAUAUGCUAGGCUUUGGUGCAUUUUGCUUUCUCACUCUUUUUCUGGAAACCCAUCCUAAAAGUACCAUAAGCAUUUGACAAUUCAUCAAUACAUCCUAAAAAUUUUUCAAUAACAAUCUAAAUGAAAAAAACGUUAGGGAUAAUUCAUUACAAACUUAAACUUAAACGUUAGGGAUAAUUAAUAUCAAAGUAGAAAAACAGUGUAGAAAACAGAACAAAUAUGACAUUUUCACUUCCUUUGACCUUCCUGGAAAUCUUUAUCCAUAAACUGGUCGAAGAUCUCACAACAUAGCUUGCUUCGUAAGUCCAUCGCAGUUUCAUCAUUUAUAUUAGCCAUGCUCUUCAAUCCCAGUGACCUGCAUUCCAGCAUCUUCACAACAAAAAUACCACAGUUGUAUGGAAAUUUUGUCUUUGGAAGCCCUUCUGCAAACUUAACUUCAAAUGGACUGAUAUCUUCGAAAUUAACCUCUUCACCAAGAAGUUCCAUCUUUAUGGCACUAAUCAACACUGUCAUAAAUACCCAAAAUUAUACAAUAAAUCAAUCACCAACAGACAACAAAAUGAAUAUGUAAAAAUGCAUCACAAUCACAAGCAGCAAGUGACAAACUUUUAUUUUCUAAAUUAGCUAAUAUUUUUACCUGCCAGUUCUUGGAUUUGAUUAAGAGCACGUUUGAUAUUUGCUUUUGGAAGACCACAAUGGAAGAGUGUGAUUGUGUUGUCCAUCAAUUGUAUCUCCACCCCAAUAUAGUGACAGCUCAACUUAUCUUCAAUGACACCAUAUAUAACAUCAACAUCUUCCAGCCAUACCUUCUUUGGAUGUAUUAAACCUUUCACAAGUUCGCCUACACAGCCCUCCAAUAACUUUUUUUUUUCUUAUGUGGCUUCCUGACAGAUUCAUAAGCGUACCCAACCUCUUCUAAGAAUUUGACUGGUACAAAGCAUGCUGGUGGAAGAUUGUUGUUGCGGAACCAAGCACCUUGCUCAACCCUCUUACAAUUUAGCAUUUCAAAUGCAACAUUUAUGUGCUGCCAAUGUAACAAUAUAGUUAGAAACUUCAUAUAGAACUGCUAUAACAUGGACAUCUAGCAUAGCUCAACUCAACCUCUUCCUAAACAUAUCACACAAUCAAAUAGAAGACAGAACAGAGUGUUGAUUACCUCUUUGUUGAGAUUGUUUUCUGCAUCGUCCAUUUUUUGAAAGAACUCUUUUUCAAUUUCUUUUCCAUUGAUAUAAAACGGUCUGUAGUUGAUAAAAUUAACUAGUAUCAAUCGAAACUUUUACAAAAUAAAUUAGGAAUAUUUAUGCGAGGACAAAAAGUUGCUUACACACGAUAUAUGCCCCGUAGAUCCAUCCAGUGUGUAAGCCUUGAAAACCGAGGAAAUUCAGGUGUCACAAAUGGAUCAAUUGGAAGGAUUACCUCAGGUGUUACAGGUAUAGGAGGGUUUCUAGGUCGUAUUGGCCUCUUCUCUUCUCGCUGUAGAAAAGGAAGCAAAUCUACUGGCUGAGCAUUUGCUUUCUUCUUCUUACCAACAUGUGGCUUCCCCUUUAAUUAAAAAUAAAGACAAAAAUUCAGGAUCGUUUUUAUCUUUAUACUUGAAUGCCUUCCUAAUAUGAAGUAAAAAUAUUUUUUAUACCUUUUUUGCAUGAUCGUCUUGACUUGGUUUCACACUCUUACCCUGCUUUACUUCUAUCUGUGAAACAAAACCGAUAUAUCAAACUAUUGACCUGAACUUCAAUUCAAGUGGAUCUUAUUCAUUUUUAUUACCUCUUUUGCCAUUUUCCCAACACCAUCUUCUGAUGGACCAGCUGCUUCAUUUUUCUUACAAGCGACAGCCUUCGCCUUCCCCUUUUUGAAUGACAAAAAUUCAGAUACAUUUAUAUCUUAAUUCCUAGUAUGAUGUAUAAAUAUUUCAUACCUUUUUAUCACCAUCUCCUUCACUUGGAUUCACACUCUGCGUCUGCUCUUCUUCCAUCUGAAAAUCAAUACCGAGAUAUUAAACAAAUGACAUUAUUUUUCAAUUCAAGUGAUCCAAGGCAUUUGUUUUACCUUUUUUGUCAUCUCCCAAACACCAUCUACCCAUUUUCUUGGUUUUCGCAUCUCAGAAUGGUGGAAGUAAAUUUGUUCUUUAGAAUUGUUCAAAGAGACAAAACACGAGCCAUCAAACAAAAUGACUUUAACUUUUCCAGCGCACCAGGCACCAUUGUCGAACGCCUCCACGUCCUGCAUUAGCUCAUAACUUUUCUUCGCUCCAGAUCUCUCAGGUGGUGGUUGAGGACGUAUUCUGUCAAUUGAUACACGUGUCUCAACACUCCUUUUCCUCUUCUUUUCGUCCAGAGACGGGACGAAGUACUCAACUUUCACCAUCUCAACCCCAUCAACCAAAUAUGUUGCCAACACAUUUCCUGGAUACCAUUUAUGACAAGUAUUGUCAUCUUGUGAUGAAAUCUCCACAUUUGCUCCGAUCUCAAAGGGAUUUUGAACUCUGCUUUCUACAUCCUGUGAUGGUUUAGAUUCAAGGAUAUCCAGUCAUUUUGAUAGUUGCUGAGUAUUUAUUAAAGGUUUUAAUGAAAGUAAUACCUUAUUUUGCUCUGUUAAAAGAUUUCUGCGAGCUCGGGUAUUUGGCUGUGUGUCGGAAAUGUUUGGUGAAAUGAUCUCAUUCAUAAGCUCGUGAGUCUCCUGAAUUCAGGAAUGGUUGAAUGAACACGUACAAGGGCUUCCAAAAAUUACUUGAAAAGUCCAAUUUUUUAAAGAAGGUACCUGCUGCGUCUGAAUUGGAGUAAGGACUGGAGUCUCAAUAUUCUGUUGAGCUAUUGGAGAACCAGGUGUCUCUUUCGUGAUCUCAUUCAUAGGCUCUCGUGUAUCCUGAUGUCAGGAAUGGGAUUAUGAACACGUACCAAAUUCAUAAUUUUAUAAAUACCAACAGUUUUCAAAAUUAUACUUGCCUCAUUGUUAAGUUGUUCAUCUGCUUGAUCUGCAUUGGCUUCACCUUGUCUGGAAGCCGUCUCAUGAAAUGGAGUUGUGUCAGUCUGUGCAAGUACAACAAAAAUUAGGAAGGCAAGCCUAAAUAUGUAUAACAUCUUCCAAAAUUACUUGACAACUCAAAACUGAAUCAAGAACUAGAUAAACAUUAAUUUUAAUUUCCGAAAAAAAAGUUACCUCAUUGUUUGGAGUUUCAUAUGAAGUAACUCUUUGUAGUUUCUCUAGGUUUGUCACACGUUCUUUAAUCUGUUUCCUGUCUUUUUCAAUCAAACACAAACGAUCGUUCAUGAUCCUUAAAUUAUCUCCCACCAUCUCGCUGAUUCUGUUGAUCUUUGAUUCCAAAGACUCCUCCUGAUACGAAGUAGAAGCUUGACUCAUCCCUCCAUUCCCAAACAGUAAAGAUGCUCUUCUUAUUUCUUCAUUAGCACCGUAUAGGUCUACUGACAUGUUUCGCCAAUCUCUAAUUUUAAACUUAUAACCUCUCUUGGAUAAAUCGGCCAUGUCAUCCAGAUCUUUAUUAGCUUCGUCUCCCAUGCAAACAUCAUCUUCUGGAUCAUUAGAAAUAGGAGGUAGGAUGCAUGUGACCUUAAGCUGAAACCAUAAAAAUAAUUAGCUUUUAAAUGGAGAAUCAUAAGGCAAAACAGAAACAAGAAAAAAAUAAUGUAAAAACUUACAUGAUCUUUGAUUUCAAUUAGGAGAACAUCUAUCAGCUGUGGAGAAGCUAUUUGAAGGUACUUCUCACACAAAAAUAUUGGGGUAGACGGUUGAACGCUCAGAAUAGGAACAACUUGACUGAAUGCAUACUGUAGCAAAGGUACUGACUCAAGUAUCCAUAUAAGAAAUGCCAUAGGGAACCCUUGCAAAUCAUAAUUGUUUUUGUCGAGGCUUUUGUCGACAGCUCUCUGAAGUGAUUUUAACAGCAAAUUAUAAGCUGUUCUCCCCCAUGGGUAUGUCAUCAAGACAUCCAUAUCCUGCGCUAUUUUCACAUAAUCCAAAGUAAAAGUUGUGCCACCGUCGAGAAGGCUCUUCUGUAGUAGUAUGCUCUCAAUCAGGAGGAGCAUUGCAAGGCAGAAUCUCUCAUCAGAAGCAUCUUCUCUUGUGUUUCUGAGCUGCUUCUCCACGUCCUUUACUGUAUGAGUACGCCCUUUUAGGAAGUCCCACUUAAAUUUCUCGGUUCCCUCUCGUGGUUCUCUUGCUUCACCACUACAUUUCAAACCAGUCACCAUGUGGAAUUCUCUUAUAGAGAACCUCAUUGGCUGAGCACCAAAAUGGAACCAUGCUUCGUGUCUCUUCACUGUCUUGAUGCUUUUGGUGAGAACUGCGUGCACUAUCUUAGCUGAUAAUUUCAAAGACCUCUCUCCAAGCUUGAUCACCGGUCCCAAAAACGUCCCUCUUAUUCUGUUGAACUCAUCAUUUCCUAGAAUUUCCUUAACAGUUUUGAUAUAAGCAACUAUCGAGUGUUGGUUUAUCGAUAUCGUCUUCUCUGGCUCUGAUCCAAUCGGAUACCUCAGCUCAGGCAGUGCUAGUCUUAAUGGUAAUGGAUCUCCCAUCUUGUUUCUAUCCUGCGUAAACAAGAAAAAUUUUAUUUGUCUAAAUUAAUUAAAAUCCAAUUUUCAGGAAGGGUUUCCUGAAAAAAAUACAAAUCCUUCCCGAAGUCUAUACACAUGCUUUCACAUGAACUAGAAUUCUACGAAUCAUAUUAGGUUAAAACGAGCAAGUCUAUACACAAGCAAAAACCAGGAGACCAAUCUCUCAGAAAGAAAACACACAUAAGGUUGAAUCUGCAACAUACCUUCAAGAGAUAGAGCUCUAGAAAUGGUUUUUCUCGGAGAAUAGAGAGAGCUCGCGUAAAAGAUCGAGAGAGAGAGAGUUCUGGAGAUGGGUUUUCGUCGGAGAUCGAGAGAUAUGGAGAUGAGAGAGAGAUUCGAGAGGCGGAGACGAGUGAGAUUCGAGAAGUUUGAAACGGCGAGAGUGUUGAGACGGCAAGAGUUUUGUUUUUUUUCAAUCGAAAUGUAUUGUUUUGGAAACCUAUCCUAUAUUAAUUGGGUUAAGUAUGCUUAUGUAAUAUUCUUUAACAGAUGAUUCUCCUCAGACCAGCGGUUAAACCAAGGCUUUUUAUAACUCAAAAGUCUCUCUAUCCCCGGGUUCGAUAUGUGGUGGAUUCAAAAUCUAUUUUAAUUCUUUUUUGUGUUACAGUUUGGAGUUAAAUAAAAUUAAAUGUAAUCCAUAACAGAUGAUUCUUCUUGGCCUAGUGGCUAAACUCCCACACUAUCCAAAUACGCAGACUCUCUCCCUCUGGGUUCGAUCCUUUGUGGUUCUAAAUUUUUGUUGUCUGUAAACAUCACAAUUUUAAGCUUACCAUAUACAUGUCCAAUCCUUAGUAUAUAAUCUCAUUUCAUUCUUUUUUACAUUUGAAACACUUAACUUUUUUUCUGGAAACCCAUCCAGAAACAAUAUUUUAACCUUCCAAGAUAUAUGAUACCCAAAUAAAAUACUUGAUAUCCUUCCAAUCUUUCUUAUGUAACCAGACGCCAACAACAUAACAAAAUAAACAGUCAUAACUAAAACCGAGUCUUAACUAAAACAAAAAAUGUUUUCAUGCAUCAUUCUCAUUUCCCAAAGCUCUCAUCCACAAAUUGGUUGAAGAUCUCACAAGACAAGGUUCUCCUUAGCUCCAAUGCAUUGUCAUCAUUAAUCUUUGUCAUGUCUCCUAUCUUCAAUGACUGGCACUCCAGAAUCUUGACAAGAAAUAUCCCACAGUUGAAAGGAUGUUUUGUCUUGGGUAAACCUUGUGCCUGCUCAAUCUCAAAUGGAAUCAUCUUCACCUUAUCUACCUCAUCACCAGAAGAUUCCACCAGCAGAUUAGAAAUCAACACUGUCAUAUUUAAAAAUCAAUAUCAAGAUAGAAUCAGUUGAAUAUUUCAAACCAAGAAACAGAUGAAUACAUCAAAUACAGAUUGUUUAUACAUACCUGCCAACUUUUUCACUUGAGGAAUAUCAAUGCUGUUGCUUUCCUUUUGAAAACAAUCAUAUACUGUGAUUCUUUUCUUCUUCAAAUGAAUUUCCAUCCCAAUCCAGACAUUGCUUUUUUUUCCAAGAGUAAUCCCAUACACAACAUCAACAUCUUCUCCCCAUGUCUUCUCUGGAUAUACCUUCCCUCUCACAGUAUCUUUAAAUAAAUCGUUGAAAAUCUUUUUACCUUUGACCUUUUCUUUCUUGUAAGCCAAAUCAUCAGAGAGCAAGCAAUGCAAGAACUCCAUAGGUAGGAAGCACGCCUUUGGAAUCUUGUAGUUGUGGAACCAAGCAGCAUUCUCAUUUCUUCUGCAAUUUAGCAUUGCAAAGGCUCCAUCAAUGUGCUGCAAAAAAAAAGGCAAACAUUAUCUAAUUUGUUACUAUAUAAUUUCCUGAAACUAAACAAAUCCUUCCUGAAUUUUUUUUUAAAAAAAAAGCUCAAGGCAAGAACAUAUGUAAACAAAUUACCUCUUUCUUAAGGUCCUUUUUUGCAUUUUCCAUGCUUUGAAAGAAAGAUUUCCUUAUCUUAUUAUCAUUGAUUGAUAGGGACCUGCAGUCGAUUAAAGAUUCAAAGGAAUUACCAAACCUCUUAUACAUAAAUAUAAGAAUAUAUAGACAAGGACAGAAACAUGCUUACGUUUCAUGCAUGCCGGGCUUUAAUGUCAUCCAAUUUUGAAGCCUUGAAAGCUUAUGUUCCGCAGGAGUUGAAAACGGAUCAACUGCAGGUAUAAUCUCAGGUAUUACAGUUAAAGCCGGAUUUCUGUCAGACUUGAAUGGAGUUUUUGUGUCUCUAGAUCGUUUAGGCACCCUCUCGCUCCUUCUUAGGAAAACAUUAUCCAUUCCUGAAUUUUGUGAUGAGGCAGCAGCUUUCCUUUUCUUAUCAGGCUUCACCUUUAAUCAAACAAUAGACACCAAGCAAAAUAUUAUCAAAUUUGUUGCAAUCGGAAUUUCUGGAAACCAUUCCUGAAACUAAAAUGUAUGUAUAUCAAACAAUUCACGUGAAGUAUAAUUCUAGUUAUGAUUUACCUUAUCUGCCAUCUUCCAGACUCCAUCUUUCCAUUCUCUAUGAAUUCGCAAAUCUGAAUGUUUGAAUAGAAUAGUUUCCAUAGAAGUAUAGAGACACACCGAGUAUGUGUUAUCACCAAGUACCAUGCUAAUUUGUCCGCUGCUCCAGCCAUUGUUGUAGAAGGCUUCUACCUUAUCCAUCAUCUCAAAGGAUUUUUGGUCACUAGUUGGUGUUGCAGGACGUAUUUUGUCAGCCGUGAUAGUAUCCUGAAGUUUCUGAAGUCUAUGUUGGUCUGUGAAGAGUGUCGUGUACUCAACUGUCAGCUCCUCUAGUCCUUCACACAGUUUAAGAUCAACAACCUUUCCUGGAUACCAUAUUUCGUCAUCAGUAGACAAAAUUUCAACCUCUGCGCCUAUUUGAAAGUGAGCUAGAAGCCUGCUUACUUCAACCUAUUAAAAAUGAAGAUUCAGUAACAUCAGCGGUUUUAAAUUGUUAGAAUAAUAAUUAAAGAUCAAAUAUACUCGAUGCAUACCUCGUUUUUUUCUGAAAAAUCUAUAGCACUUGUCUGAAGAUGCUCUGUUUGCUGAGUAAUAGGCGGCAUCUUCGAAACAUAUGUGGAAACUAGCUCAGUAGUAGGUUCUGUAGUAUCCUUGAGAUUUUCUUCUGCUUGAUUCUGCUCUGAUGGUGUCUCAUCGGAUUGAUCUCCCUCACUUGUCUGAAGGUGCUGUGUUUGCGGAGUAAGAGGCUGUGUCUUCGAAACAUCUGUGGAAACUAGCUCAGUAGUAGGUUCUGUAGUAUCCUUGAGAUAUUCUUCCGCUUGAUUCUUUCUGCUUGAUUGUGAAUGCUCUCCUUCACUUGUAGAAAAAUAUUGGGUCGCAGUUUCUGUCUCACUCUAUAAGACAAAAGUAAAUGGUAAGAGUUAGUUGAAUAGAAAAAUAUUACCUAAACAUUUUAAAUAUUUCUUCUUACCAAAGCAUUCUUAUUUUCUUCAAUAACUAGUGCAAUUAGUGAAGACAAUGGAGAGGAAGGUCUGUAAUGCACAGCAUGUGUAUCCUCCUGUAAUAACAGUAAAAUAAAAGAGGUAGUUAUGAAGAAGUUUCUACAAUUUAAAAUUCAAGUUGUACUUAUGAAAGACAUUUCUAUGCUUACCUUUUUAUUGUUUGCUGAAAUGAUCUCAGUCAAUGGCUGUGUAGCCUCAUACGUUUCCUCUGUUACCGUCUGCAAAAAAAACAAAAAAAAGUCAGGUAGGGGAUCAAAAACACGUACAAAAGCUUUCAAACAUUACUUGAAAUCUCCAAGAUUUUUUGAACAUUUACCUGCUGUUUCUGAAUUGGAGUAAAAACUUGAGCCUCAAUACUCUUUGGAGAUAUUGGAGAAGAAGGUGUCUCAUUCAUUUCCAGUGUUUCUUUUUGCAAAACUUGAGUCUGAGCAGCAGGUGACUCAAUCACAAUCUGCAAAAAAUAUCAGGAAAGGCCAUCAUGAAUACAUUCAAUUAUAAUUUCUAGAGUAAAUAUUACCUCAUCAUCUGGUUUUCCUUCUCCUUGAUUAGUUUUGGGUGGCGUUUCAUCAGUAGAGGUUUGUGUUUCCCUCUGCCAAAAAUUAGAAAGGUCUAUAUAUGUAAAUCACCCAAAACUAAUUGUAAACUCCAACUGUCAUUGAGCAUAUACCUCUUUUGUCAGAUUAGGAGUAAAAACUUGAGUAUCAAGGGCAGGCGUGUCAUCCGAUGGCUCUCUCUCAAUCUGUAAAAAUUAUCACGAAGUCAAUCCAGAGUACGUUCUAAAGCUUCCAAACAUUAACUUAAAAAUCCAAGAUUUUUUUUGACCAUGUACCUGCUGAGUCUGACUUGGAGUAUAAACGGGAGUUUCAAUACUCUUUGGAGCUAUUGGAGAAGAAGGUGUCUCAUUCAUUUCUACUGUUUCUUUCUGCAAAACUUGACUCUGACUAGCAGGUGACUCACUUGUUAAUUUCUCUCUCACAAUCUGCAAAAAAAUAUCAGGAAUGGCCAUCAUGAAUACAUUCAACUAUAAUUUCUAGAAUAAAUAUUACCUCAUCAUCUGGUUUUCCAUCUUGAUUAGGAUUGGAUGGCCUCUCACCGGUAGACGUUUCUGUUUCUUUCUGUCAAAAAUCAGAAAAGCCUUUAUAUGUAAAAAAAAAUCACCCAAAACUAAUUUGUAAACUCCAACUGUGAAAACAAUAUCAUUGAGCAUAUACCUCUUUUGUCAGAUUAGGAGAGAAUACUUGAGUAUCAAGGGCAGGAGUUUCAUCAUCUGAUUCAUUCAUUGUGUCCUGCAAAAAUCAAGAAUGCAUUCUAGAAUAUGUACAAAAGCUUCCAAAUAUUACUUCAAAACUCAACAAUAUUUUAUUGGUUACAUACCUCAUUUGUCAAAUUAGGCUGUUGAGACAUUGGAGAUAAAGGCGUCUCACUCGAUGAUUGCGUGUAAUCCUGCAAAAAUCAGGAAGGCAUUCAGGAUUUUGUACAAGAAUUUCCAAAUAUUUUCUUAAAAAUUUUUGAGCAUAUACCUCAUUUUGUUGAGACUUUGGAGAUGCAGCUGAUUCAAUCAUUGUCUCCUGCAAAAAUCAGGAAUGCAUUCAAGAAGUACAAAAGCUUUCCAAAUAUUACUUCAAAACUCAACAAUAUUUAUUGGUUACAUACCUCAUGUGUCAAAUUAGGCUGUUGAGACAUUGGAGAUAAAGGUGUCUCACUCGAUGGUUGCGUGUGAGACAUUGGAGAUAAAGGUGUCCCACUGGAUGGUUGCGUGUGAGACAUUGGAGAUAAAGGUGUCCCACUGGAUCGCUGUUUGUCAAAUAUUAGGAAGGCAUUCAAGAAUAUGUACAAGAUCUUCCAAAAAAUACUUGAAAAUGCAAAUGUAAAAGAAGAUGUUUUGAGAAUUUACCUUUUGUGUCACGUUAGUGGGAAAAACAUUGCUGUUUCCUUCCAACUCUGACACACGAGCUCUAAGAUGUAUGUUUUCUUCUUCCAGUAAUGACAUUCGAUCCUUCAUGCUCUUCAGAUUCUCCUCCAUUACCGUGAUGAUCCUGUUCACUUUUUCAUUUACUGAAUCCUCAUCAAUCGGAGUAGAAGCUUGGCCAGUCUCCUUAUUUGCCAUCAUUUGAAUAAGAGCAUCCAAUGUGUCAAAUGUGUCUACACACCUAUUUUCCCAGUCAUCGGCUGUAAUCUUGUACCCUUUCUUUGUUACAUCUUUCACUGUUUCCAACUCGUCACUAUAUUUGUCUUCAAUGGAGAUAUCAUCUUCUGGAUCAUGAGGAAUAGAAGGUAGUAUGCAAUGGACCUUCAGCUGAGAAUAUUUCAAAAAAAGACCAAUGAGAAACAUAUUAAAAAGAAGAAGCCAAAUAAACUGAGAAACAUAUACUUGGAAAAGCUUACCUUUGUAUCAGCUUCAACCUGUAAAACCCUAUCAAGUGAUGGAUUCUCUAUCUCAGUGUAUUUUUCACACAAGUAAGUCGGCCCAGGAACCUCAACUGUUGGUACACACUUACUGAACUUAUUCCUUAGCAAAGGAAUCGACUCUAGUAUCCAAAGAAGGAAUACUAGAGGAUAACCUUGCAACUCAAAUUUGGAUUUAUUCUCCAAAUGAUUCGCGACAGCGUUUUGAAUUGACUUCAGGAGCACAAUGUAAGCCUCUUUUCCCCAUGGAUAUGUCAUAUCCUGUGCAUUUUUCGCAUAUUCCAAAGGAAAACUCCCUCCUUUGCUCUUCCGCAAUAAUAUGCUCUCUACCAGGAUGAGCAUUGCGAGGCAUAUUCUCUCCUCAGAAGCAUCUUCUCUUGUGUUUCUGAGCUGGUCCACCACGUCACUUAACUUAUGACUACGCCCCUUUAGCAAUUCCCAAUUAAAUCUCUCGGUUUCCCUUCGUGGUCCUUCUAAUGCACCACUACAUUUCAAGCCUGUCAUCAUAUGAAAUUCUCUUAUAGAGAACCUCAUUGGCUGCGCACCGAAAUGGAACCAGGCUUCAUUCUCCUUGACAGAAACGAUGCUUCUAGUGAGAAUGGCGUAGACUAUCUUUGCUGAUAACUUCAAUCCUCUCUCACUGAGCUUCAUUACAGGUCCCAGAAAUGAUCCUCGGACUCUUAUCAUCUCAUCUGGUUUUAGGAUGCUUUUGACAAUAGAGAUAUAAUCUGAACCAGAGUAUUGGUUGAUUGCUGACUUUUCUUUUGGCUGUGAACCAAUAGGAUACUUCAGCUCUGGCAGUGCUAGUUUUAGAGGUACUGAAUCUCCCAUCUUGUUUCUAUCCUGCGUAAACAAGGAAAAAAAAAAUUUCAAACUUUUCUGGAAGGCUUUCCUGAAAUAACACAAAUACAAAACAACACAAAAGUCUUCAUUUGCUUCGCUUGUUAAUAAGAACGAGUAACACACAAAUCAAAAUCAAAACGCAAGCUUCCCAAAUUUUAAUUCAAAAACCCUAAUUUUAAAAAGUUACCGAUUUUGAGAGUAGAGAGUGUGACGCUGAUGAUUAGAUAGCCGGAGAAGAUGAUUAUCGAGCCGGAGAAGAUGAUUAGCGAGCCGGAGAAGACGAUUAGCGAGCCGGAGAAGAUGAUUCCCGAGCCGGAGACUUCGAUUCCCGAGUCGGAGAAGAUGAUUCCCGAGCCGGAGACGACGAUUCCCGAGUCGGAGAAGAUGAUUCCCGAGCCGGAGACGACGAUUCCCGAGUCGGAGACGACAGUGCCGGUGAGGGUUUGAAGAUUCCCGAGAGGAGACGACACGAUUCGCGAUCGAAUGAAAUGAAAUGUUUUUUUUUUCUAUUCUUAUAACAAAGGGUAUAAAGGUAAAUUACCCCUUUAAUGAAACCUAUUUUUGUGACUUCUGAUCCUGAGUGCUAGUUUGGGGAGGAAAACUUCAAAAGGUGCUAUUAUUGACAAUUGCCCUUUUAAAAACGUGCAUCAUUAAAAUGUUACCUAAAACAUGCAACACUAAUAUAUAACAUGCAUCAAUAAAACUAGAAUUUGACUCACACAAUUGUACGGAUAUUAUUUUCAGUUGAUUAAAUUUAAAAAUAAUUAUUUAUUCAAAAAAUAUUUAAGAAUGGCUAUGUUUUUAAAACUUAUAUGGUAUUAUUUGCUCAUAACUCAUUUGUCAUUUGAUAAAUUGUUAGAAAUAAAAAUUUUAGCAUAAUAUAACUCAGUUGUCAUUUGCUAAAUUUAUAGUUUUUAUUUAUAUUUUUUAUUAUUUAAUUAUAAUAUUUUCAUUUUAUAUUUGAAAGAUAAAUGAAUUUUCUUUCAAACAAUAUUUUUGUAAAUGUAUUUUUUAAAAAAUAAUCAACUAAAAUUGUUAUUAUCAUUGAAUAUAAUUAUUUUUGACAUAAUUUGAGUUUUCGUUUACAUCAAAACUUAUCAUAUUUUAGGAUAAUUUUAAUUUAAAAUGUAAUUUUCAUAUUUUUCAAACAAAUUCUAAAAAUAUUUUUUUAAAUAUUUUGUUAUAAUUGUUAAAAAAAUAUUGAGUUGCAUUUCAAAUAAAAAGGUAAAGAUAUUAAAAAUAUUCUAAUUAAAAUAUGUAAAAUUUAAUAUAGUUUUAAGGAAAUUGUCAAAAUAAAAAAAAUUACACAUAAAAUAAUCAUGAUUUUUGUUAACUGGGCGGAUCAUUAUUUAUAUGAUAUCGCACACGAAAGAAAAAAAAAUUUAAAUUAUCUAAUUAACUCUAUACUCAUUUUAUUUAUAUUUUUAUAUGGUAUCAUACAUUCGUAAAAAAAUAGAUAGUUUAAGAUGAAAAAAAAUAUAUUUACUUAAUGAAUAUAAUAUGAACGAAUAUUACAAAUACAUCAUUUAAUAAAAUAAAUAAUUAAAAAGUGAAAAUUCAUACCCGCGCUGGCGCGCGGAUCAGGAUCUAGUUUUAAAUUAUUCUACAUGUUAUUUCCCAAUUCAAAGUUUCAAACCAUAAAACCACAUAAUCUUUGUGGUUAAAAAAAAAGAAAAAAAAAGCAUAGGCGAUGGAGAGGCAUGUUUUAACGAGGGUCAAGUUGGUUUUUAUUUGGUUAAUUGUUUUUGGUUCAAGUGUUUCGACUUUAAUUUAGGUUGUAAACGAAUUUUGGUUUACGUUGUAAACCAUUAAAUCAGUGAAAAGCCGGGUUUGUGUUUCAGUUUUUUGAAUUGGUGAGUAAUACGUAAAAUAACUUAAAAUAUGUGAAAUUAAGAUGAAGUUGAAAGUUUGUGUAUAAUUGUUAUUAUAUGAUAUUUUGUGGGGGAAUUAUGUCCUUUACUCAAAAACAUUUAUAUAAGUUUAUAAAUUCAACCCCAUUUCCUAAUCUUAAAACCUAAACAAUAAUCAAUAAUCUAAACCCAAAUGUUAAUGUAGUUUUGAUUGAGCAUAUCUUUUUAAAAUUAGUAGCCAAUUUAGAAUAUUUCAAACUUCUUAAAAAUAUUCUAUUGAUGUAAAUAUAAAGAUUAUCUAUUGUAUAUAUGAUUAAAUAUUGGUUCCAUUUUAUAUAUUAAUUCAAAAUUAAGAAUUAAAUUUAUAAUAUAAUAGAAACUUUGGGUUUUAUUGGUUUUAUUAAAUAUCAAGGUUCAUAAUCAGAGAUAGUGAAAAACUAAAUUCAAGUUCGAGCUUAGAGUGAGAGAUGUGAAAAUAAAAAUAGAAUGAUCAAAAUGUUAAUGAGGCAAAGUCUUGAGAGAAAAUGAGAGAAAAUAGAAUUUUUAGGUUGAAAUCUAUUUAUAGAUGUCUUAAAACGAGCUGGAUCCACCCAAUAAAGCUCGGUCAAACCAAUAAAAAGUGGUCUUUCCGUCUGACAUGGUCAUCCCACUAUAAGUAGGUCGCUACAACACUUAGUUGUGUGGGGCUUCUUGGGGAACCAUAGCGACAUGCUCUGGUCGCUACAGCUAUGGUCGAUACAUGGUUGAUAUGACUCCAGUAGAUAGAUCAUAACUCCUUCAAUACAGCUACAAAUGAUUUGAAACCCCGGCAUUGGAAAGCUAACUCAAUUGUCUAUAUCGUCCCGAAAUUCGAGCUUCAGAAGAGAUCUUUAAGGCCGUCAUCCAUGUUCAUCUUUUACCCUUUUGACUCAAAACUCCUCAAAUUCCCUCAAACUCACCAAUAAAUAUCUCCAAAACCUGAUAUAGACACAUGCAAUGCGAUAUAAAUAUGUAUAAAUGCAUCUCUAUAUGAUCAUUAUAUACAUUAAAUGAUAAUUUAAAAUCAUGGAAAUUUAUAAGAUAUCAACCCUCCCACACUUAUCAUUUACUUGUCCAUAAGUAAACUUUCAAGAACAAAGUGAGAAAGAGGUGCGAAGGUGGAAGCUCAUUACCAAAAGAUAUUUUUCAAAGCCGUCAACGUGAUAUCCUUACAAAAUCAUACCAAAUAUCAAGAGCAAAACAUCAUAUGAAACUCUAACUUCUCUAGGCUGAUACUACUCAAAUUACCCUAAGGAGUGAUUUUACUCUCUCAAAUAAGAAGUUCAAUUGUAGUACUUAGGGAUCGAAGCUACAGAGAGUUAGGGCACACAAUAGACUAUUAAAACCAAGAUUAAGCUAGGCAAAGCAGUAAAUCAAUGAAAGCAAGAUGAACAAAGUAGUUGUUCCAUUGGUUGAUUGAGGUUGUAAACAAUUAAGAGAAAUAGCUAGACCUAGGGAUUUAUCAAUCAAGAGAUUCAAAACUUCAAUUCAAGGAUGCUAAUGGUUUACAGAUUAAUUUUAGAACUUGAUUUUAAUAAGUAAGCAAUCCAGCUUUCACAUGCAAUUGCUAAUCAGAUGUUUAAGUCCAGUCUCAGCUGUCGCUUAUUGACUUGGGGCGAGUGUCGAUCGAUGCUAUGGCCUGAGCGUCGAUCGAUACUUCCCCAGACAAGCAUUAACGACCUAAUCAAUAUAGUUCAACUAGAUUCCUAGACCAAUUCUCGCAUGCGCCUAGGUAUCUAAUCCAGCAGAGUUCGGGUUCCGUUAAUUGAUUGCACUUUCGUGCCUCUCAACUAUCCUAUGAUUCUAGGUUCAAAUAAUUAGUCGCACUGUCGUGUUAUUCUAACUAUUCCAGAUCCUAGUAUUACAAAUCAUCCUGGUGUAGAAAUCUAUAGAUAAUAUAGCAAUCCUAAUUGAUCAGUUUGACAUUAAGCUCAUGAAAUCCCUAAACCUAACAAGAUGAAUUACUUAGACAUGCAAACAAUAACACAAAUCAUAGUCUGAAAAAUAUAAUAGAUAAAUCAAUGGUAAGACAAAUGGAGUUCCAAUCAAUAUCUGAAGGAGAAUUGAUCUUCUCUCUAAACCUAAGAAAAAACAAUAGAAUAGGAUAAUAGAAAGCUUGUUACCGUUAACAAUGAUUUAUAAAUAAAUACAUAAAUAGGGUUUCUGGUCGUCCAUGGGUAUUUUGGUAACUUGGUGUGGCUUCUGGGCUUCAAACGGUCUUGAAAAAUGCGUGUCCCACGUUCUGGCAUCACUGUCGAUCGACACUAAUGCUGUGUUAACGAUCGACAGUUAUUCAUCUCCUCGAUAGCUUCUUCUCGCGAGGCAGACUGACUACUUUUCAGUAAAACGGUCAUAACCUCUGCUGCAGGUUACCAUUGACCUCAAACCGAUGGAAUUGGAAAGCUAACUCAAAGCUAUAUUUUGUGUCAAAAGAUGGGCUCAAUAUAACGGUGGGAAAGUCUCCAUCUAUAGCUAAAUAUCUGACGUGUAUGUGCCGCUCUGCACAUCAAAAGGCUCCAAAAGACACCAAAAUCACCACAUUCCUCCAAAUCGUCCAUGAACCUGUAAAUACUCUAAAUAGACUCUAUAUAGUAGUAAAUAUAUGUUAAAACACUUAUAGAUCAUGGCUAAAAGAGGGUAAAAUCCAUGGUCUAUCAACUUCCCCAGACUUACCCUUUUGUUUGUCCUCAAGCAAAACAGACGGACAGUCUCUCUGAAAGAGGUUUGAAAACAGCAGGGACUCACAUGAUUUAAAACUUAAACUCAAAAAUCAAUAUUUAUAUCGAGCAAUAACCAAAAUGAAAAAAAAACGACACAAAAAUGAGAAAAAUAUUGAAGAUAUUUAGGAUUGGCACGUGAACGUAAACUUCUCAUAACCAUAAUUAACUUUUAAAUUGCUAAAUCAUUAUAUAAAACAGAACUCUCAUAUUUUCAUUGUAACCAAAUAGUAGAUCUGAGAUUCUCUCGUCUAAAUGUUAGGUUCUUAUGCGAUAAAUGAAUUUUUGACCUAAGAUAUUUUUAAAAUAGAAUCAGCUCAUCAGUAAACAAAUUAUAUAAUUAACAAAAAAAAAAUUUUAAAUGAUUUAAGGGCCAAAAUUUAUUCGAUCAAUAAUAUAAAUUUUAUUUUUCCAUACGAUAUUUCUUAAAUAAUUCGUCCUACGCAAAGCGUACGUCUUAUCCAAGUAUACUUAAUAUAUUACCAAAAAAAUGUAUCCACAAGAUAUUAAUUUUACAGAAUUUUCCCAUUUUAUGUCUGAUUUGUUUCAGUUUGAUUUUCCUUUAAAAUUUUAAGGCUACAAAAAUGGAUAUCACUGAAUUAAUUUACGUUGUGUUAUUUAUUUUUUUGAAACUCAUUUACGUUGUGUUAAGUCGUAGAACCAUAGAACCAGGCCCGGCUUAAAUACAUUAUGGGCCUUGUGCAGACAUAUAUUUUUUCCCAAAAAUUAUAAGGAAAAAAGUUUCAUAGCUACCCGAAGUUUACACUAAUAUGGUGAAAACCAUCCAAUAUAUGAAAAUAUGUCUACAACAACACGAAGUUUAUGUUAAUACAUGUCACAUGUACGAAGUAAAUAAUAAUAUGGUAGCAACAUCACAAUUGGGUUUAAUUAAUUUUAAGCUAAGUUAAUGGGGUCAAUCCGUGAUUUACUAAACUUAAUAAACUUAAUAAUUUAAUAAACUUAAUAAACUUAAUGGUUUAUUAAGUUUCAUAAACUUAAUUUAUUUUAUUAAUAAACUUUAACUUAAAAACUUAAUAAUUUAUUAUACUUAAUAAAUUUAAUAAACUUAAUGGUUUAUUAAGUUUAAUAAACUUAAUUGAUUUUAUUAAUAAACUUUGUAAUUUAAUAAACUUUAACAUAAUAAACUUAAUAAUUUAUUAUACUUAAUAAGUUUAUUAAACUUAAUAAUUUAAUAAACUUAAUAAACUUAAACUUAACAAAUUUAUUAAACUUAAACUUAAUAAACUUAAUAAAUUCAUUAAACUUAAACUUAAUAAACUUCAUAAAUUCAUUAAAUUUGUUCAAUUUAUUAAGUUUAAUAAAUUUAUUAAGUUUAUUAAUAAAUGAUUAAGUUUAUUAAGUUUAUUAAUAAAUGAUUAAGUUUAUUAAGUUUAUUAAUUAAUGAUUAAUUUUAUUAAGUUUAAUAAAUUUAUUAAUUUUUAUAAGUUUAAUAAAUUUAUUAAUUUUAUUAAGUAAGUUUAAUAAAUUAUUAAGUUUAUAAACAAAAUCAAUUAAGUUUAUUAAAAUUAAUAAAUCAUUAAGUUUAUUAAGUUUAGUAAAUUACGGAUUGGCCUCACUAACUUAGUUUAAAGUCAAUUAAACCCGAUUGUGAUGUUGCCACUAUAUUAUUAUUUACUUCGUACAUGUACAUGUGACAUGUAUUAACAUAAACUUCGUGUAGUUGUUGACACAUUUUCAUACAUUGGAUGCUUUUCACCAUAUUAGUGUAAACUUCGUGUAGUUAGAAAACUUUUUUCCAAAUUAUAAUGAUAUUUCCUUAAAUUUACAAAUUAGGACUCUGUGCAUGUGCACCUUGAGCACACCCCAAGAGCCAACACUGAAUAGAACCAAAUAAGAAAGAUUUCUGAUAAAAAGAUUGUAUGAUUAUUUAGGAGACUAGAUUCCAUGUUGUGUGCCGUGCUGCCGUGCUGAAAAUACUUUUAGUUUUAUAACCCAUGUUCAAAAACACGGCCGAGUUGGCCGACUUCGCGCCGGUCAAACGUAAUUCGGUGGUGUUUUGCCGCGAUUUUGUGUUAUUCGGGUAAAAACUCGGAUUAAAAAAAUAUACAUAUUUUGACAUUUUCCAGUUUGAAAUCGGUUCUUUAAGCAUAGAUCUAUCAUAUUUCAUUGUUACCGAUCAAGAAUUGAAGUUAAUCGUCGAAGAAAAAAAUGAUUUAUGUUAAAAAUAAAUGAAAAACGGCUGUUAAUUAGGGUUGGAGAAAAAACAGGUCGGGAGGAAAAUGAUGAAAGUAAAAUUACAAAUGUGUCUUUCAUUAAUGAAAUGUUUAAAGAAAGAGCAAAAAAAUGGACAUUUUUGGGAAUUGAACCCGGGAGAAGAGAACUAGUUUUUUUAAGGACUUGCAUGCAUGAGAUUCUACGCGUACAGUUUUACGAUGCAAGUCCUUACGGUACAUUGUAAAACUGUACCGACAUCGUCAAUGUUUAGUCUACGCGUACGGUUAUAACUCACUAGUUAUUUAUAUUAUUAUUAUUAAUUUAUUAUUAUGGCGGAGUCGUCACAUGCAUGCAUGAGAUUCAUUCAUUCAUAAUGUCACACUCACACACUAUCCAUUCCCCUUUUUUUUUUGGACUCUUUUUUUUUUGUUAUAAAGAAAAUAAAAUUCUUAAAGUGACAGACUUCACGGGUUACACUGUGUUACUACCCGCCAAAUUCUACCCGCCACCUUUUAAAUUUCAUUUUAGUUUCUUCACCGUCAAUAAAUCGUCAGGACAAAAUAAAUACUUUUACAUUUCAUUGUUUUAUCGUACCAAGUGUGGUCAGUAUCUCUAAUAAUUUUGAAGAAUAUUUAGAAAACUAGUUAGAUUAUAAUUUUCGACGAUGUUAAUAUAUAUGUCGAAGUAAAUAAGGUAAAAAAAAAUGGUUCGUUUAUGGUUUUAUAUGGCAUUUAAAUUUUGAAUAUUGACUAUCAGAUUCAGUAUAUCAUUUAGAAUAGAAACAAAAGUAACCUAAAACUUAUAGAUUGAACUUCUUUUCAGAAUGUAUAUGCAGAGCCGGUCCUAGUGUAUUUGAGGUUACAAGCUAAAAAAUAAAAAAUGGCCGAAUUUUUUUUUUUUUUGCACUAGGGAAUUAUCGAACCUUGCUCUUUCAGACUAGACAUAUGUUGAUUCAACCACUAGACUACACAAGUUUUUGAUAAUUUUGUGGCCGCUUUUAUAUUUAUAAAGUGGCGGCCGGAAGUCCAUGCUUCACCAGCUUGGGCCCAAGACCGGCACUGUGUAUAUGGCACUGUGUAUAUGCAUUUACAGCUUUAGUAUCCUUUGAAUUAUUAAUUAUCAAAAAAAAAUUGUAUCCUUUGAAUUAUCGAUUAUACUAGCCAGAAUUAGUACAUGCUGACCUAUUUACAUUAUAUUUGAAAUCCCAUAGUGAAUACGCGCACCAUGACUAGUAUUACUAUUAUUGUAUUAUAUUAUAUUUACAUUAAUAUGUAAUAUGAAAAAACUAUAAAGAGAAUCAUCAGUCACGGACAUCAUGACUCAAUCACUCUAAGCUAGAAUGCUAGAUACGGAAUAUCUUUCAGAAGCGUGGGACUAAAAUAUUACAAGAAAUAGCUUCGAACAAUUCACAGAAGCUAGCAUGGUGAAAAAUAAUCUUGAACCCAACAGACUACUUUUGGUCGGGAACCCCAAUAAGUUGGAACUUUGUUCAAGAUUUAUCAACCUAUAUUUGUAUAUGAAUAGUUGAAUAGUGUAUAUCCCAAGAACUGAUUCUCUUUUUCCUAUUUGUAUAGGCAAAGACAUAAACUAGCACCCAAGAGAACUUGCCUAUGAUCCUCUCUCUCAAAAAAAUGUGGACCUAACAAGGAAGGAACAAGACAAAAAGAGUGAGAACGAUUUUUUUUAUUAUAUCUUGUAACUAUAUAGAGAAUGGGAGGUGUCUCGUAAGUCAAGUAGUAAUGACAAAACCCCUUCAUAAAUUGUCUACCCACUGGGCACUACACUACAAGAACCUUUGGUUGCUCCCAUUGUUUUCACCUAUAAAUUACAAAUAUGACUAUGCCUAAGGUUCUUAAGAAACCUAAUAUAACGAAGGUUUAAGUUAGUGGCUUCUAAAAGCUUAGACUAUGCAUUCUCUAAUAUUGAUUAUAGACUAAACAUUGACAAUGUCGGUACAGUUUUACGCGUUGGCUUUAGAUAUUAUAAGGACUUGAUCUGAGGUUUAGUUAAAAUAAGGUGCAAGACAUAAGACAUGAUUCUUAAAAGGUACUAGCUUAAGACCCGCGCAAUUGCACGAGGUGAAUGUUAUAUAUAAAACUAAUUUUUAUCUAUUAUUAUUUAUUUAUAUUCAUUUACGUAUUAUGUAUAUAAUUAAAUUAGAGUAAGAACAUAAAUCAAAACAAUACAUCUUGUUUAUUUACGAUACUUUUUUGGUAAAUAAAUCAAAACAAUCAUUUUAUUUAUUUUCUAUGGUAUAUAACUAAAUUUCAGUAACAUGGACAUAGAUAUAUAGUAUAUUUUAAUAUAAAUAUUUAUUAUUGAAAAUUCAUACUCAUAUGAUAAACACAAAAUUUCUAAUGUGCGAUUUUUUAAUGCAAAUUUUAAAAUUUAAAUAUUAAGGUUUCAAUACUUUUUCAAUAUAAAUUUAGAAAUUAUCAUAUUUAAGUAUUAUUCUAUGUUAUAUAGUUUAAUUUUAAACUAUAUUAUUAUAUAAUAUGAAUGUCUAGCAAAUGAGACUUCAUAUUCAUACGAUUUAUGAUCAUUUGUAUCUUGUUAUUACCAAAACAAAGUUAAACCAUUGAUCACAAAAUUUUAGUGUGAGACAUUUAACGUUUUUAAUAAUUUAUAGUCGUUUUAGAAAUUCAAAAUAUAACAUAUAUUUUUUUAUUAUUAUUAUAUGGUUAAUGUUGUUGUUUAAUAUUUUUUAAUAAUAUAAAAUUAAACAAAAAAGAGCUAAGAUACAAAAUUUAUUAUCAAAUAUUUAUUAUUCAUAAUCAUUAAUUAUCAUAUAUACAUUAAUCAUAUUAAGCAACUCCGUAGCUUUUAUUUAAGGAAAGUGCGAGAAUAUUAUUUUGUACACUAUUUAUAAAUUUAAUAGUUAGUUUAAUAAAAAAAUAUAAUAUAAGUUAAGAUAAACCAACCUAUUUUUCUAUGAAUUCUGAAAUUCAUUCUCAUGGUCACACGUGACUACAAAAUAAUGUUGUAAUGUUUCACAAUUAAUAUAUAAAAAAGAUUAUUGGCAUGCUUCACGAAGCUAAUUUUUGACCAAAUAUGCAAAUAUAAACUAUGGAAAUUUCUUAGGAACAUACUAGUAAUGAAAAUCAUUGGAGAUCGUACUAUCGUUAUUCGUUACUGAUUCUUUUGCAAAAAUAAACAUAUAAGAAAUGAUUAUGCUAGUUUAUGUUGCUGAGUGCUACAGUUUAUGGGUCUGACCGGUGACCAUUCAUAAAACAAGAGGAACAACAGAAAAAGAAUAUACCGGAAAAAAAUAGCAAGAAUGAAAGUGAAUGGUUAUUGCUUCUCAAAUUUAAUAAGGAAUAAUUUUAUUUUUUAAUUUUCUACAAAAAAAAAGAACGAAAAAGAAUGAGAUAGAAUUAUUAUUCCUUGUGAAUGGUGAUUUUUUAUAGGAACGUUAGAGAAUGCAUUAUUUCCCAUCAUUUCUUGGUCACCUUUCGUAAAAUAGUGUUGUUUUUCUAAUUAAGCAUUUUCAUGUUUUUGUUUUUCUAAACAUUUUCAUGUUGUUUGUUUUUCUAUACAUUUUCAUGUUACGGUAUAUAUAGGCUGAGCAUGUCCAAGCUAUUCAAAAUUAACCGAAUCGUGGAACAGAUCCAGUAACUAGCUAAUUCAUAGUUCUAUUAAAAUUGAGGUUAAGUAUAUAAAAGAAAAAAAAAACAAAGAAAUGAAUAGUAACAAAACUAGAGAGAGAACAGAAAGGAAUAGAGAUUUUGCCGAAACUUUUCUAAGUACAGUGUCUGAGUAUUUUUUUGGUAAUCAUGUUAAAUCAGUGUCUGAGUUCUUCAAACCUUCUCAGACUUGUCGUUUGUAAUUAAUCAUUAUCUGGCCGAUUAAAAAUGAUUAACGUAUUUGAUUUCGUGUUUUCCGAAUGCUUUCACACUAACCAAUUACAUUUUCACAAAAUUUACAAAUAGGUUCGUAGAGCAUGCAGCCAUGUGAUGAGCACAAAAGUGAACAAUUCUUUAGCAGUUUACUUAUAUCAACGUAAAUAGCGAAUGUUAUUCCUAAAUUUCCCUGAAAAGAUAAGAAUCUACGACUACAAAGAUACGCCAAUUUAGGAAAGUAUGACAAACCCUUUAAUUUCGUUUUGGAACUAAGUGACCUUAUACCUGCUUAAUAAAAUCUAAUAUUCCAAUCAUCUAAUCACAGUUUGGUGCUUACACUAUUAAAAAUAAACAAAUAUCGGCGAAUACUUUUUCUAUAAAAGGGUGCACACUAUCAUAUACCUACUUACUAAGUCGUUUACACAACCCAAACCCUCAUUCUAAGAGAUGGGGUCUCACACACAAAACCUCUCUUUUCUUAUCCUCCUUCUCCUAGGCUUCCUUGCUGUCUCAUUCGCUUGCGAAUGUAGCCCUCCUAAACCAUCUCCGAGACCCCACAAACCGCCUAAACAUCCCGUCAAACCGCCUAAACCACCAGCAGCCAAACCACCAAAACCACCGGCAGUAAAACCUCCUAAACCCCCCACCAAACCUCCCACCCUUAAACCACACCCCCACCCUAAACCUCCCACCGUUAGACCACAUCCACACCCUAAGCCCCCUACCAAACCUCAUCCCAUCCCAAAACCGCCCACCGUUAAACCACCACCCUCCACACCCAAACCGCCCACAAAACCACCCACCGUUAAACCACCUCCAUCCACCCCUAAGCCGCCCACCAAACCACCCACCGUCAAACCACCACCCUCCACCCCAAAACCGCCCACCAAGCCACCCACCGUCAAACCACCUCCGUCCACCCCUAAACCACCUACCCACAAGCCACCAACAGUGUGCCCACCGCCAACACCAACACCAACCCCACCUGUUGUAACGCCACCAACACCACCAACACCAACUCCACCAGUCGUUACGCCACCAACACCAGCCCCACCUGUUGUAACGCCACCAACACCAACACCACCGGUCGUAACGCCACCGACACCAACCCCUCCUGUCGUAACACCUCCAACACCACCGGUCGUAACGCCACCGACACCAACUCCUCCUGUCGUAACACCACCAACACCACCGGUCGUAACGCCACCGACACCAACCCCUCCUGUCGUAACACCUCCAACACCACCGGUCGUAACGCCACCGACACCAACCCCUCCUGUCGUAACACCACCAACACCAACUCCACCUAAGCCAGAAACGUGCCCAAUCGACACGUUGAAGCUAGGCGCUUGUGUAGACGUUCUUGGAGGUUUAAUUCACAUCGGGCUUGGUGGAAGUAGCGCCAAGAAAGAGUGUUGUCCGGUUUUGGGAGG